GUGGGUAUCUUGUACCCCUAAUUCUACUGUCGGACACUUAUCCAUUUUUACUUCUCAUCUCACUUUUUCUUUUCCUUCGAGGUUCCGAGCACUUGCUCCUUUUUAUUUCCUCGUAUCUUUCUUUUUCUUUUUUUAGAGCACUCAUCUCAUGAGAUAAUAUAUCAAGUGGUAGUAACAAGAUAACUUGAGCAUUUAUUUCAUAGGGAAAAACAGAAAUAUUUUUUUGUUAUUCUCUCCCGGAUUAGGAGUAGAAUAUUUUUUAGGUGAUUCUGGAGAUGGAAUGGGUGGAUAUAUGUGGAUGGUACUUCCGGAGUAGAAGUAGCAUAUAUGAGUCAACGUGCAAGUGAAAUCUUGAUUUAACCACAUGACAAGCUCCUAAGGGUCUACACAGCUUGACCACACUCAAUGCUCAUAAGCAGUAAAUAGUAAAUGUGUGGCUCAGAGUCUAGCAAGCAUGUAUAUAUGGUUGUGGUAGGAAUUUAAACUCUCAUCAUACAGGAACUCAUCAUGCAACAUUUUAAAGAUUUUUAAAGAUAAAAUUCUCCAGAAUUCUAGCAUCUCUAGGAACAGAUAAACAGCAGCUCAACCUUCCCAUAUCGUAUCCGUUAACAACUUAGACUUCAGAUCAAGUUUUCAUCCCACAAGUUUAGGUCUAGAGCAAGAUUUAAAUUAUAACAGUUAUAUCUAAACUUGAGAGAGAACUUAAAAUGUACAAAUUAGGCAGAGCAACUAUUCAUCAUAUCCAUGCUUAAGUUUUAUUUAGAUAUAGAUUAGCAUAGCCACUUUAUUUAUUUAUUAAACACACUAAGCAAAAGACAUAUAUAUAUAUAAGCAUAAAAUCUUUAUUUAGUUUUUCAUAGUUUAUGUAUUUUAAUAUAAUAAUAUAUAAAGAUAGAUAGAUAGAAAUACUUAUCGAGAUAAAUGGGGUGCUCUCCCCCAAGCUGAAUUUUGACAUAAUUUCUCUUGAUGUAGCUAGCAGGUGGCAGAGGUGUAUUUGAAAGUCAGCAGCAUUCUGACAGCGAUUAGAAUGUCCUUCGUCUGCUAGUCUUCUUGAUUCUUAAAUUCUAUGGAGUUCAAAUAGACAACAAAGCUUGUGGAACUGAUUAAGUGUUAGCAUAAAUAUCUAGCCUUUAUGCGGAGACUCCUUAAUAAUUAUUACUCCCUAUUUUUAUAUUUUUAUUUUAUAAAGCAGAAAAGAAAUAUUUAUUUUAUUUUUAUGCCACCACAGUGAAUGUACUUAUGGGUUUUAUGCCACUCGUAUACUCACAUGGGGUUUACUGUUUUUUCAUAUUUUUAUUUUCUUUUUAGGAUAGUACGAACAUGAUAAACUAAGUAAACUAUUUGAAAUAAUUGAAAGGGAAAGGAUAACUACCAAGUUUACCUCUUGGCAAGGCGUUCGGUGUUUUUAAGUCCUCCGAACGGGACUCUCCAUUUUUCAAUUGUCCUGAGGUUCGUUGGGUGGCGUAGUCGGUACUUCCGGCAGCGUCUCCUCUUCGUGUAUAGUAACCUUCAUUUUCCACACCUGACUUGGUGCUUCAGUCUCCUCUGGAUAAUUCUGUUUAAACUCUACGUCUUCUGACCUUACAACUUGUCCUUCGUAGUCUGCCCAUCCGUCCUUGAUGAUCUGCCUCCUCUGGUUGCGGUUGCGUCUUUUCCUUACCUGCUUAGAUUCUUCAACGAUAUUGUUAGGGUCAGUAAAAUAACGGCGUACCUUCUCUGAGGGGAAGUGCAUAUGGACUUCUCGGGUUCCAAUGUAGAUGAUUGCUUUAACGGUGCUAAGGAACGGUCUUCCAAGGAUGAUGGGUGGAUCAUACUCGUCUUCUCCCAUGUCAAUAACUUGAAAGUCUGUGUAGACAAAGUGAUCGUCUAUUUUGACUGGGACAUCAGUUACUAUUCCUUUAACUUCUCGAAAUGUCUGAUCUGCCAUCUGGAGCUGAAUGUAUGUUGGUCUUAGGGGCAUGGUCCCGAACAAGAGCCGAUAGAUGACUGCGGCCAUUAUGUUGACGCCCGAUCCGGUGUCACAAGUUGCCUUGUAGAAGUUGUAUCCAUUUAUGGAGCAGUAGAUGCUUGGUAUUCCUGGGUCGUCCUUCUUGGUCAAAAGCGGUGACUUAAGUUGAUGAUCUUGGCCUCCAUGAACUACAGUGACCAUCUUAGCUGACUCGGUCCACACUUGCUUGUUCCUGUUCCUCCUGUUGGUCCUCCUCCUUGACUCACGUCUGGAUUGAUCUGGAAUUUGUGUAGUCUUGUUCUUGAAGAAAAAUGUCUCCUUCCUCCCUUUGACGUAGAAACUGAUCUUGGCAGCUCUAGCGUAGAUGAUAGCUCCCGUGGUGUUCAAAAAUGGCCUCCCUAAGAUGAUAGGUGCUCUCUCAUCAUUUCUGUCUCUACAACUACGAAGUCUGCUGGGGCAUAUAAGGUACCAACUCGGACGCAAAGGUUCUUCAAUAUUCCCUCUGGAAAAGUUAUCGUCUGAUCUGCAAACUGCAAACAUAUGGUUGUUUCUAAUAAAGGAUAUGUAAAGAAUUUUUCAUAGAGUACCCUAGGUAUAAUGUUGACACUGGAGCCAAAGUCACAGAGUGCUUCUGGGACAUCCACCAUGCCGAUGGAGAUCGGGAUGACGGGGCAUCCUGGAUCGCCUCUCUUGACCGGCAGAAGGUCAGUAGUGAAUUCAGUGACGGGGUUACUCCAAUUUCCUGCAUCAAACAUGUCUACAAGAUUCGCAGGUUCUAAUCCUUCCGGUUGUGAUGGUAUACCGGGGUUAGUUGUAGGAACAGCAGCAGCUAUUUGAUUUAACUGAGAUUCAAUCAUUUUAUUAAAGCUAAUUUGAUUCUUGAUGGUAGUAGAGAAAUUAUCCAUUCUAUUAUUUAUAUUUUCUAGCAUUUUAUCAUUAGAUGCCAAUUUCUAAGAUAGGUUAUCCAUUAGCUUUCCUUGAUUAGACACUAACUCUCUCAAAGGUGGAAAAUUAUUAUUAUUGUUGUAAGAAUUGUUACCUUGAUAAUUACCUGAGUAGUUAGGCAUCUGUUGAUUCCAACCUUGAUUUUGUUGAGGACGGUUGUAGUAGUUGUUGUUGUUAUUGUUGAUGUAGUUCACAUCCUCAAGUAUCUCAGGGCAGUGGUUGCCUGAGUGUCCAGUGUCUCCACACUCCUCACAAGUCAUGUGAGAGUCGUAGAUGUGCAUAACUUCUUUCUUAUCUCUAGCUCUAUCAUCGAGCUUCUUCAUGAGCAGGUCUAGCUCUGCAGACAGCAUGUCUACCUCCUUCAGCUGAUGCAUACCUCCACCUCUCUUGCGUGUCUAAGUCCUUUCUUCAUUCCAGCUUUGGUUGGACGCCAUCUUCUCCACAAGAGCUGUGGCUUGUGGUAUAGUAAGUGAUAAGAAUGUUCCUCCACCUGCAGCAUCCAUGGUCUCUCAGGUACUGUUGCCGAGUCCAUGAUAAAACGUCUGCAUCAAUAGCCAACUUUCCAUUCCAUGAUGGGGACAUUCUAGGAUGUAGUCUUGAAAGCGCUCCCAUGCUUCUGGAACAGAUUCAUCAUUUUGUUGCUGAAAACUUGUAAUCUUCCCACGGAGAGCAUUGGUCUUGCCCAUGGGAAAGAAUUUUGCUAGGAAGUUUGUUGAGCAAAGUGCCCACGUAGUAUUCUUCUCCUUUGUAGCGUAGAACCACUGCUUCGCUCUCCCUAACAGUGAGAAUGGGAAGAGGCGAAGUAGUAUAGCAUCUUUGGAAACUCCUGAUAUGGUGAAUGUGUUGCAAAUCUCCAGGAAGUGUUGUAAAUGAGCACUAGCAUCUUCGUGUGCCUUCCCAUAGAACUGGUUGGAUUGCACCAUGUUGAUAAGUCCAGGCUUGAGCUCAAAGUUGCCAUCGAUCUCUGCAGCAGGUCCAGUGCGGAUGUUGUCCGUGGUGGGAGCUGAGAACUCGCGGAUUGAUUUGUUUGCCAUGGCUUCGAACUCUGAAGACAAGUUCCGGUGAUCUUCUUGAUUGGGAGAAGCUUCUUGCUAAAGUGUUGAUGAUCUCUUCUUGAGCAUGGCUCUCGUCUUCUUGAAUAAUGCUUCGGGAUUGUCAACAAAAUUUCCUGAAAGAUGUCUUCUAUUCAUACAUUCCCCUGCAUAAGAUAAAACAGAAAAAUAUCGGGGUAAAACUAUAUGAGAGAAUAGAUAAGCUCAAUCAUAUUAGUGAUGCAAAUGAUAACUCAAAAUCUUUUAUUCCAUUCUUGAUUAGUAAUCAACCUUCCCCGGCAACGGCGCCAAAAAUGCUUGUUGGGUAUUCUUAACAUCAUUACCAAAAGUAGACUAAGUUCUCUAAAUCUAGUAACGGUGCCAAAAAUGCCAAACCUAUCCCUCACACCACUUAAGCCAAGUUGUCAUCCCCAGCAUGAUAUAAGAGACGCGGUAUUGAAAUAUGCAAUUGCUCUUCUAAAUAAAUAAUAAAUGGGAUCUGCAAGCGCACAGAUUAAUACCGAUGCAACAUUUUAACCAGGAAGUAUUCCAGGUAUCGUUAUUUAUAUUUUUACCACUGGGAAGGGAUUAGCAAUCAUCAAUAUUGAUUACAGAAUAGAAUAUGAGAUUGAGCAUCUAUCAUUGCAUGUAUAAUUGAGAACAUUAUAUCUAACUCUUCAUACAGGGAUAAGUGUCACAUAAGAGAUAUAUGAAAUAAUAAUAGUGACAAGGAUAACUAAUCUGAUCUAGCCACAUAAUAAAUAUGAUAAGCACCUCAAUUAGAUACUCUAGAAAGUCAUUAGCAUGGUAUUAGAACGAACUACAAGAAUAUUCCCUAAGUUAUUCUCAACUAUAUAGUCUAGGAUAUCAUAGUUAGUGCAAGCAUACUUAGCAAUCAUUGCGAGACAAGACUACGCCCAUGCAUAGUGAUAUUAGCAAGGAAUAUGAGAAACAUAGCAAUCACUCCCCUGUAAUAAUGUUGCUCUGCCAGCCCAAUACAUGAGAGGGGGACUAUAUAAGAAUCAAUGAAGCUGUCACUAUCACGAACUACCCCACGAUCUGGCAUAUUGGGUACAAUCGCAGAUAAAUACGGUAUAAGCACCACGCCUACACAAUAUCUAUCAUUUACCCAUGGAUCCGAUGGAUAAACGCUAUACGAUUAAAAAGCAAUUAGAAGCACAAUUAGAGAAUUACCAAGAUAAUUAAAAAGCAAUUAGAAGCACAAUUAGAGAAUUACCAAGAAUCCUCUUGACAGAUCCGGAAACCAAUCGAAGAUUGACUCCUUCUAGUUCUAAUCCUAUGUAGCUAUGCUAAUCUAGAUGUCUAAUUGAUGUGGUGGCUCUAAUCUUGAUCAGAGGCUUCUUCUCCCUUGAAGAACAAUGAAUUAGGGUUGAGAGGCUCUCUCCUCCAGGGGCCAGGGGGUCUGGUUUUAUAGUCCCUUCAAGUGAAUAUGGGCCAUUGGAUCAAACCGACAUAGAUUGUAUGGUUUAGAUUCAUCCUUUAGGUCGGUGGAGAUCUCCCACGAAGCAGAGUCCUGAUUGGACUCAGGAGGUGGGCGGGCGCCCUGAUCACCUAGGCGGGCGCCCAGGGUCAGGCCCCGUUUCGCCUCCGCUUCGAUCUCGUGGCUUCUGGAGUCUUCUAGAUGUAAGAUAAUUGCGCGGCACGUUAAUAUCUCUAUGUAAUCCCGAUGUGUGGGCCUUUCUUCCGUAUUUCCUGAUAACCCCCUGCAGAAAUAGACAAACACCAAAACUCGUGGAAUUCUGUCAGAUAAAACCUUAAGUCUAGAUGUUGAUUUCAUUUGGAUCCAUUUCUUUAUUUAUUUGAUAAUUAAAUUUGAUACUUAAGGACCGUCAACAAGGACCCAGACUCGCAAGAGAGGUGGAGGUAUGCAUGAGCUCAAGGAGGUAGACAUGUUGUCUGCAAAGCUAGACCUGCUCAUGAAGAAGCUCGACGAUAGAGCUGGAGAUAAGAAGGAAGUGAUGCACAUCUACGACUCUCACAUGACUUGUGAGGAGUGUGGAGACACUGGACACUCAGGCAAUCACUGUCCUGAGAUGCUUGAGGAUGUGAACUACAUCAACAACAACAAGAACUACUACAACCGUCCUCAACAAAAUCAAGGUUGGAAUCAAUAGAGGCCUAACUACUCAGGUAAUUAUCAAGGUAACAAUUCUUACAACAAUAAUAAUAAUUUUCCACCUUUGAGAGAGUUAGUGUCUAAUCAAGGAAAGCUAAUGGAUAACCUAUCUAAAAAAUUGGCAUCUAAUGAUAAAAUGCUAGAAAAUAUAAAUAAUAGAAUGGAUAAUUUCUCUACUGCCAUCAAGAAUUAAAUUAGCUUUAAUAAAAUGAUUGAAUCUCAGUUAAAUCAAAUUGCUGCUGCUGUUCCUGCUACUAACGCUGGUAUACCAUCAUAACCGGAAGGAUUAGAAUCUGCAAAUCUUGUAGACAUGUUUGAUGCAGGUAAUUGGAGUAACCCCGUCACUGAAUUCACUACUGACCUUCUGCCGGUCAAGAGAGGUGAUCCAGGGCGCCCCGUCAUCCCAAUCUCCAUCGGCAUGGUGGACGUCCCAGAAGCACUCUACGAAUUUGGCUCUAGUGUCAACAUUAUACCCAGGGUACUCUAUGAGAAAUUCUUUACAUAUCCUUUAUUAGAGACAACCAUGUGUUUGCAGUUUGCAGAUCAGACGAUAACUUUUCCAAAAGGAAUAUUGAAGAACCUUUGUGUCCGAGUUGGUACCUUGUAUGCCCCAACAGACUUCGUAGUGGUAGAGACUGAAAAUGAUGAGAGGGCACCCAUCAUCUUAGGGAGGCCAUUCUUGAACACCACGGGAGCUAUCAUCUACGCCAGUGCUGCCAAGAUCAGUUUCUACAUCAAAGGGAGGAAGGAGACAUUUUUCUUCAAGAAUAAGACUACACAAUCAAUCCAGAUGUGAAUCAAGGAAGAGGACCAACAGGACGAACAGGAACAAGCAAGUGUGGACCGAGUCAGCUAAGAUGGUCACUGUAGUUCAUGGAGGCCAAGAUCAUCAACUUAAGUCACCGUGUUUGACCAAGAAGGACGACCCAGGAAUGCCAAGCAUCUAUUACUCCAUAAAUGGAUACAACUUCUACAAGACGUUUUGCGACACCGGAUCGGGCGUCAACAUAAUGGCCGCAGUCACCUAUCGGCUCUUGUUCGGAACCAUACCACUAAGACCAACAUACUUUCAGCUCCAGAUGGCAGAUUAGAUGUUUCGAGAGGUUAAAGGAACAGUAACUGAUGUCCGUGUCAAGAUAGACGAUCACUUUGUCUACACAGACUUUCAGGUUAUUGACAUGGGAGAAGAUGAAUAUGAUCCACCCAUCAUCCUUGGAAGACCGUUCCUCAGCACCGUUAAAGCAAUCAUCUACAUUGGAACCGGAGAAGUCCAUAUGCACUUCCCCUCAGAGAAGGUACGAUGUUAUUUUACUGACCCUAACUAUAUCAUUGAAGAAUCUAAGCAAGUAAGGAAACGACGCAACCGCAACCAGAGGAUGCAAAUCAUCAAGGACGGAUGGGCAGACUACGAAGGAGAAGUUAUAAGGUCAGAAGACGUAGAGUUUAAACAGAAUUAUCCAGAGGAGACCGUAGCACCGAGUCAGGUAUGGAAAGAGAAGAUAAUUAUACAUGAAGAGGAGGCGCUGCCGGAAGUACCGACUACGCCACCCAACGAAUCCCAGGACAAUUGAGAAAAUGAAGAGUCCCGUUCGGAGGACUUAAAAACACCGAACGCCUUGCCAAGAGGUAAACUUGGUAGUUAUCCUUUUCCUUUCAAUUAUUUUAAAUAGUUUGCUUAGUUAAUCAUGUUCAUGCUAUCCUAAAAAGAAAAUAAAAACGUGAAAAAACAGUAAGCCCCAUGUGAGUAUACGAGUGGCAUGAAACCCAUAAGUACAUUCACUGUGGUGGCAUAAAAAUAAAAAAAUAUUUUUCUGCUUUAUAAAAUAAAAAUAUAAAAACAGGUAGUAAUAAUUAUUAAGGAGUCUCAACAUGAUAAAGGCUAGAUAUUUAUGCUAACACUUAAUCAGUUCCACAAGCUUUGUUGUCUAUUUGAGCUCCACAGAAUUUAAGAAUCAAGAAGACUAGCAGACGGAGGACAUUCUAAUCGCUGUCAGAAUGCUGCUGACUUUCAAAUACACCUCUGCCACCUGCUAACUACAUCAAGAGAAAUUACGUCAAAAUUCAGCUUGGGGGAGAGCACCCCCAUUUAUCUCAAUAAGUAUUUCUAUCUAUCUAUCUUUAUACUUAUAUUAUAUUAGAAUAUUGUUGCACCCAGUUUUGAUAACAAAACCAAGUACUCAAAUAUGUGCGCCCAGGAUGUCCAAACACACAUAUUAUCACAAAUUGUAAAUAUAUCAAAGUAAAGUACUUUAUUACACCGCAUAUUCAACUUAAAUAUCUCACAUAGUCUUGCUCAUUGGCAACAUUAUUACAUAAAGCGGAAAGCUAAACCCUUGCUGCCACAGGGAUGCCAACUGGUGAACACCAGCUCUUUAGAAGUCCUGGACAUCUUCAGGGAACUCCCCAGAACACACAUCUGUUACCCAUCCGGGAUUUUCAUUGAAAUAUAAACAAGUGUAAGCGCACCAUGCUUAGCAAUAUAACAUAGGGGUAUAUGAAGGCUCAAAGGUUUGACUCGGUUUAACAGUGGUUAGCAUUUUAAUUGGUCAUAUUUUAUUUACCAAGACUUACUACUUUUAAUGAAUGACCAACCCUGGUUACAUAAGAAUUAAUCAAAGUUAUUAUAUUCCCCAAGUAUAGCCAGGUAACCGCUAAUCAAGAAGGAUCCAGGUCGCUCAUGACCGAGAGCUCGGCUGUUAUAACAGGUUUUAGAUUUCUGCAGAAAUUGUACAACUUUACCCCCGAGCCGUGGUUCCCUAGUGUCGGGGUUUGCAAGGCCCACACCACUUCUACCGAGGAAGUGUGACCGGGUCCCACUACGUAACCUUUCACUAGUCACCCUAACAAAAUAGUAGCCGCGAGGUUUCAGUGGCAAGUGUGCAUAGACGACCUCCUUCAAGAGGCACAUGUGGUCGCGGCAAUGUACACACCAAGGUAGGAGUGACAUCUAUACACCACGAGGCACCCCCCUCUAGCGCCUUUCGGUAACUACUAAAUUGCUAGAGUCAUACUAGUUAUAUGAUUGAGGUUCAGAGCCAUUUGACUCUCGGGAUUGUACGUGUCCUCCUGGGUGGCCGCUUCAGGAUUAAGUCCUUAUGGAGAGGAAUCUAGAGCUUUCAAACCCAAGCUCUAGCCCCCUGAACCAAGUUACUAGAACAUAUUUUAUCACGUUGCAUAUACUACUUAAUCAGAUUAAUUUAUUAACUUGGGUUUUGAGCAUAGCAAGCAACUACCUAAAUAAAUGCACACCUUCCCAUGGGUAACAAGGAUUUGUGGUACAAAAAUUAUCUAGGUAAAGUCCUUAUAGGUAUUUCAAUUUAGACACAUGCAUAUGUAUGAUUUAAAUAAUAUUCAUAGGUACAAGGAAGCCUAUAUUACACUUGCCUUCCUCAAAAAUUUCUUCUUGGUAGAGCUCCACAAACUGCUCCUCAACCACUCCAACGUGAUCUCCUUCUAUUCGUGAUCCAAACACCAAUCAAGCAUCCAUUCCAAUCAUCACAUGCAUACAAAUAGAGUUCUAUUAGAACAGUACACCAAACAGUGAAAACAGUGACUGAAAAGUAUAUAAAUCUACUCUACGCAUUUCUACGAGCACAUGAGCGAAAGAAUCACUCCAAUCGGAUUUAAAACGUGAAAGUUAUGCAUAAAACAAAUUGAAUGGCAUUUCUGUGAAUAAACUGAAUUAAAAACGAAUUUAAAAGAAUUUAAAAACUGAAUUUCUAACGUGUCUCGACCGCGCGCACUAAUAUUUAAAAGUACAGGGUUCAAAACGAAAGAAAACAGGAUUAAAAAGAAAUACUUUUGAACUGGAUUGGACCGCGGGUUGAUUUGCUUGAAACAGGGGGGUUAAAGUGCAAAAACUCCAGCGGCCCGCGGCUGACCGCGUUGCUGGCCGACAGGGGGGCACGUGGCGCGCGGGGGUUGGCUCGGUCCACCACUGUGCGCGUGGACCGGCCGGCCGAGUGCCGUGGACCGCGCCCAUGGGUCCACGGUGGACCGGUUACAUAACCCCGAAGGGGUAUGUAAUCUGGGCCGUUGGGAUCUAAUCGGGCGGCUCAGAAAGGAGGGAGGCGGGGCGCUCGCUUGGCCGAGGCCGAGCACGGCGGCGCCAUUGCCGCCGACGAGGUGAGCUCCUCGAAGCUCGCCGGAAACUCAUUCCCGACCACUCCAAACAAAAAUAAAACUACCGAAAUGAUCAGCGCGACGAGGCGAACACGAUAGGGCACAAAGAGAGGGCGGGGUGCACGUCGGGAAGACGGCCCUGCGGUGGCGCCAUUUCCGCAGCCUCGACGAGCCUUGGGCUCGGCGGUCUAACGCUCUAGCUCGAAAUUGAAAGCACGGGGAGCAUCGUAGGUGUACCGCGGUUCCGUUGGAGACGUUCGCGGCGUCCGAAGGUGCUCCGAGCAGUGUGGCCACGGGCGCGCGGUCUGGGGAAGAAAAUGGCGACGGUGAGCUAAAAUUCAUGGCAUACAAGAUCAAAACAAAGAUGAAAUCGGUGCCUACGGUCGCGGCGAGUCUCAACCAAGCUCCCGGGACGCUCUCCGGGCUCUGGGUCGCUCGAGCAAGGGGAAACCGAGGUGGGGGAUCGAAACCGUGCUCCGGUGGUGGCUAGGGGCAGCAAGGGGGGGCUCGGCCUGGGGUUUUAUAGGGCGAGCAGGGGCGUUGAGGGAGCGCGCAUGCGGGCGUUAACUCCCGGCGUCAAGAGGUUUGAUGGAGCCCCGAUUGAUGGCCUCCAUCAAUCGGCGUUUGAAGAGGGGAUGAAUGCCCCUAGCUGCGUUCCCGGCUCGGUGGAGAAGAAGGGGGGAGACGCUGACGUGCGGACCCCACGGUGCAGCGAGAGAGAGAGAGGGGGAAGGGUGAGCGCCGACAGGCGGGACCCACCGCGCAGUGAGAGGGGGAGAGGGGGAGGGCGCGCGGGCUGACCGCGCGGAGCGGGCCGCGCCACUGGGCCGCGCGCGCGCGUCGUGGGCGAGGGGCGGGAUGCUGGGCCGCCAUGGCCCAAAGCCAAGGGUGGGCGCGGGGUUUAGGCCGGCCAGGGUUUGGGGGCUGGGCCAGAUUUGGUGAAGGGAAAAAAAAUAAGAGAAAACUCUUUUAUAUUUUUCAGAACUAUAUAAUUGUAUAAAUUCCUUUCAAGUUGAUUUUUAAACCAAACAACCUAGUCUUACAAUCAAUCAAAAUAUUAUGCACCAGCAUGAAUGCAGCAUUUCAUGUUUCUAGACCUUAUGGUUUAUUUUAAAUAAUUCCAAAAAUUGUUAUUUUGCCUAAACAGUUCUCAGAUAAUUCACAUAAUUGUGCCAAAUUGAAUACUAAUUUGAAAAUAAAUUUUUAGGGUGUUACAAACCUACCCCCCUUAGGAUGAAUCUCGUCCUCGAGAUUCGGAUGGUUCAAAAAGACGAGGGUGCUCAGACUUUAAGUCAUCCUCUCUUUCCCAGGUUGCUUCAUCUGUUGAAUGCCUAUUCCACUGUACUUUGCACAUUCUUAUGGCCUUGCUCCUGGUGAUUCUUUCUGCUGUCUCCAAAAUUCUUACAGGAUAUUCUUUAUAGGAAAGGUCUUUUUGAACAUCGAGAUCUUCCAGAGGUAACUGUUCUUCGGGUACUCUCAGACAUUUCUUAAGCUGUGACACAUGGAAGACAUUGUGAACACUAGAGAGUUGCUCAGGUAAUUCCAGCUGAUAGGCGACUCCUCCUCUCCUAGCAAUGAUCUUAAAUGGCCCCACAUACCUAGGAGACAACUUCCCCUUUGUAUGAAAUCUCUUGACUCCUCUCAUAGGUGAGACCUUGAGAUACACAUAAUCUCCUAUUUGAAAUUCCAAAUCCCUUCUCCUGGUGUCUGCAUAACUUUUCUGUCGUGACUGUGCUAUUUUCAAGUUCUGUCUUACUGUGUGUACUUGUUUCUCUGCUUCUUGCAAGAUCUCGGGCCCAAAAACUUGACUUUCCCCAGUUUGACUCCAAAAUAGCGGUGUCCUGCACUUCCUGCCAUAUAAUACCUCAAAAGGUGCCAUUUUGAGGCUCUUCUGAUAACUAUUAUUAUAGGAGAACUCUGCAUAAGGCAAACUUUUGUCCCAACUUGUCCCGUACUGCAGGGCACAAGCUCUCAACAUAUCUUCUAGUAUCUGAUUUGUUCUUUCUGUCUACCCAUCUGUUUGAGGAUGGUAGGCUGAACUAAAAUUUAAUUUGGUAUCCAUGGACUCAUGUAGUUUAUGCCAAAAGUGUGAUGUAAACUGUGUCCCUCUAUCAGAAACAAUUUUCUUUGGCACCCCAUGUAAACACACAAUCCUUUCCAUGUACAAUUCUGCCAACUUUGCCCCGGAAUAGGUAGUCUUGACAGGGAUGAAGUGAGCUACCUUGGUUAAUCGAUCUACAAUAACCCAGAUAGAAUCGUAUCCUUUCUGUGUCCGAGGUAGUCCCACUAUAAAGUCCAUUCCAACUUCUUCCCACUUCCACUCAGGUAUUUUCAUGGGUUGAAGUAAUCCUGCUGGUCUCUGAUGUUCUACUUUCACUCGUUGGCAUGUAUCACAUAUAGCCACAUAUUCUGCUACAUCUCUUUUCAAGCCAUACCACCAAUAUCUUUCUUUUAGGUCGAGGUACAUUUUGGUGCUACCCGGGUGUAUAGAAUAAGCUGAGUCAUGAGCUUCUCUCAAAAUAGCCUCUCUAAUAGACUUUAUCUCAGGUACACAAAUCCUCUUACCGAACCAUACUGUUCCCUAGUCAUCCAUGUGGAAUCCUGGUGCCUUACCAAUCACUAUUCGUUCAGCGAUAUCUUUAAUUUUCUCAUCUUCCAGUUGUCCUUUACGGAUAUCUCGUUCUAGUGUGGGUUCCACCUCCAAUUCCAUAGUGUUAGCCACUAUACUCAGGUUUAGAUGUUCAAACUCUUCGCACAACUCCCUAGGUAAUUGAGUCACAUAAGCCAUAUUAACAUAACUCUUUCUACUCAGGGCAUCUGCCACUACAUUAGCUUUACCCGGGUGAUAGUGUACUUCCAGGUCAUAGUCCUUAAUCAGUUCCAACCAUCUUCGUUGUCUUAAGUUCAAAUGGGACUGGAUGAAGAUAUAUUUUAAACUCUUAUGAUCUGUAUAAAUCUCACAUUUAUGACCGAUUAGAUAGUGUCUCCAUAUUUUUAGAGCAUGCACCACGGCCGCUAACUCCAAAUCAUGGGUCGGGUAGUUCAACUCGUGUUUCCUUAACUGUCUAGAGGCAUAGGCCACCACUCUGCCCUCUUGCAUGAGUACACAACCAAGACCUUGCCGAGAGGCAUCACAGUAGAUAGAGAAACUCUUAGUGAUGUGAGGUAAGAUGAGUACGGGGGCAGAAGUCAGUCUCUUUUUCAACUCUUCAAAACUGGCCUGACACUCUUUGGUCCAUAUAAAUCUGGCAUUCUUUUCUAGCAGAGCGGUCAUUGGUUUGGCUAGCUUUGAGAAGCCCUCAAUGAAUCUUCUAUAGUACCCAGCCAUUCCAAGGAAACUCCUAAUUUCACUCACAUCUUUAAGUGGUUUCCAGCUUAACACAUCCUGAACCUUUUUCGGGUCCACUGCUACCCCUCCGUUAGAGAUGAUGUGCCCAAGGAAAGAUACCUCUUUUAACCAAAAUUCACAUUUACUAAGCUUAGCAUAGAGUUGAUGUUCUCUAAGCUUUUGCAGCACCAAUCUCAAGUGUUUCUCAUGUUCUAUCUCAUUCUUAGGGAAGACAAGUAUGUCAUCAAUGAACACAACCACAAACUUGUCAAGGUAUUCCAUGAAUACUUUGUUCAUCAAAUACAUAAAGUAGGCAGGUGCAUUUGUCAACCCAAAGGACAUAACUAUAAACUCAUAUAGUCCGUAUCGAGUCACAAAAGCAGUUUUAGGGAUAUCAGAUCGUCUUAUCCUUAACUGAUGAUAACCAGACCGAAGGUCUAUCUUAGAAAACACACAAGCUCCUUUCAACUGGUCAAACAGGUCAUCAAUUCUAGGGAGUGGAUACUUGUUCUUAAUUGUGACCUCAUUAAGUGAUCUGUAAUCUAUACACAUUCUUUGUGUACCAUCUUUCUUUUCUACGAAUAACACUGGUGCUCCCCAAGGUGAGGAACUUGGUUGAACAUAACCCUUAUCUAGCAACUCUCUUAAUUGCUUCUUAAGUUUUGCUAAUUCAUUCACACCCAUUCUAUAUGGUCUUUUAGCUAUGGGUGCAGUUCCAGGUACAAGUUCAAUUAUAAACUCAAUGUCACGGUCAGGUGGCAUACCUGGCAGUUCCUCAGGGAAUACGUCCGGAUACUCAUUCACUAUCCGUAUGUCCUCUAUUGAUGUCCCCUUCAAUUGAUUAACUGUGUAAUAUUGUUUAGCCGACAUGCUAACCUCUACCUCAAUUUGCUGGCCCGAAGGUGUCAUUAGCUGAACUAUUUUGCUAUCACAUUGUAUAACUGCUUUUCUCUGUUUCAACCAUUCCAUACCCAAGAUAACAUCAAUACCAGAAGUUUUCAAAACCACCGGGCUAACUGUAAACUCUACCCCCCUUAAGGUGAUGUUCACUAGAGGGCAUCUAAGGGUAGCUUGUAUUUCUGCUCCAGGUGAGCUAACUAUCAUGGAGUUUUUCAUAGCAAUCAUGGGUAUAUCAUAUUUCUUGACAAAAGACUGAGCAAUAAAGGAAUGUGAUGCACCGGAAUCGAAUAAAACUGUAGCGGGGCUUGAGUUGACUGGAAACAUACCGAGCAUCACGUCCGGUGCCUCCUGUGCCGCCUCGGCUGUCACAUGAUUUACCCUCCCUCUGAUAUUGUUCUGGGCCAUCUUCUUGGGGCACCUAUUGGAGUAGUGUCCCGGCUCACCACAACUGUAACAUUUGUUAUCAUUGUUGGCAUUUGGUGUUUUUGGUGCACCAUUCUUUGGUGGAGCAUUGGGAACAUUUGUUUUUACAGGAGCAUUAUUAACUGGCUGCUGACGUAGGUUAGGAGCUCGGUACUGCUGCUGCUGCUGUUGUGCACGUUGUGGCUGCUGAUUACGAUUGACCAGGCUUGACUGACCCUAAUAGCGUUGCUGUGGAUAAGCUUGCUGAGGAUUGGUAUGAGUACGCGUGUUGUUUCCUGACUGUUGUCCCUGGAACUUCCUUUUUUUAUCUUCCAUCUGGCGGUGUUUGUUCUCAAUCACCAAGGCCUUGUCCACCAGAUACUGAAAGCUUGCAAAAGUGUGGGAUAGCAGUUGGUAUUGGAGCCCAUCAUUCAACCCUUCCAUGAAUAAUUCCUGCCUUUUUUCAUCGUUCUCCACUUCUGUGGGAGCAUAUCGUGACAAUUGUAUGAACUUGUCACGAUAUUCAGCAACAGACAUACUUCCUUGCUUGAGGGAGAGAAAUUCUUUCUUCUUCAGUUUCAUCAGUCCGGCAGGGACAUGAUGAGAGCGGAAAGCAUUACGGAAUUCCAUCCAGGUUAUGGGGUCAGCAUCUGCAUGACCAAAACGAAAAGAAUCCCACCAAUCAAGGGCAGCUCCUUGCAAUUGCCCCGCUGCAUACAACACUUUCUCUCUGUCAUCACACUGUGCAAUCUCCAGUUGUCUUUCGAUCGCACGAAGCCAGUCAUCCGCUUCGAGAGGGUCGGUGGAGUGUUUGAAAACAGGUGGAUGUCCCUUCAAGAAUUCUCCUCUCUUGUCCCUAACAUGAGGAGGUGCAUUUCCAUUUCCAUUUCCAUUGUUCUGCAUGUUUUGGGCCAGCUGCUGCAGCAGUUGUGUUUGCAUCAUCAUUAGCUGCUCCAUAGUAGGAGGUGGUGGUGGUGGUGGCACGUCCUCACCCCUCCUGUUCCUCCUAGUGUUGGCCAUCUGUACCAGAUACAUAAUAUGAGUUUCAUAUGUCCAAUACACUUAAUUUCCAAGAGAUAUAGCAUGCUGGAAUUAUUACCAUCUGACCAAGUAUGGGAUUACAUAUGUUGUGAGUACAAUGUAGUAUGCAUUCUGUAUUUUCUGCUGUCCUCACUAAAGCUACCGUGAAGUAAAACAAGCAUAUCUUUCUUUCUGUUUAACAUCUCACUGCGAAAUUUAACUUUCUGGAAAGCUUGGAAAUUUUCCUAUAACUUUCGUUCAGAUCACUUCCUCAAAUUCUGGCGUUUACAUAGGUAAAAACAAGUGACAACUUUUACUGUUCUGGAAUUUCUGACUGCGCAGAGAGGUCACCUUGUAGAAAUUUUAUCUCUCAAAUGGUAACAGAUUUUGAGGUGAUUCUAGAGCCAAAAGAAAGAUAUAGAAAUCUAUUUUAUUCCAAAAUUUUUUUGUAUUUUUAGUCCAUCCAGAACUCGGAAUAUACAAUUUUUAAGGCGGACUGCUCAAAGGAAAAACAUGGGUAGACAGCAAGAUAUAAGUAAAACCCAACUAUUUAUUCAUAUUAUCCUUAGACCUUAGCCCUAUUCUAAAUGACUGUGGACAGGCCUAGAAUCAUUGAAAUCAUGACAAAAAUCCAACUCAUCCAUUAAGCAUUAUUACAAGCAUGCUUUCACGAAGUAGCAAUUGUUCAAUUAGUAAAAAAAAAUAAAAACACAUUCUCGCAUCUCUAUGCGUGUUUAUUACAAAUGGGGGAAACCUCCUAUGGGUCAAGGUUGGUGCCGGUGUUGGGGUCCUCGUGGUUCCUUGGGGGUGACUCCGCGAGGAUGAGUGGUACUUCUUCAACAUGACUCCCCUGCUGUUGCUUUAACAUGGAGUUCUCGACAGCCAACUCAAGGUAGGCCUUCCUCAGGGCAUCUAGCUCAUCUGAGCCAAGCAUGCCAGGGUGGGUCGGAUCCUGGGAUUCCCUGCUACAAGUGGUGCAGCGAUGUUGUAGAUUGUCUGACCACUCCGCCGGCGGGGUAGAUAGCGAUCUUCUUCCCAUGCAAUGUCAGCAAAGUGGCGGUCGCGGUUCACCACCAAGGCCUGCCGGGCAGCGUCCCGGAUAGCUGCUGCACGGGUAGUCCUGGCGGUGAUCGCACGGUGGAUGUGACACACCCGACUUCCUUCUCGGAUGUAAGCUUCAGUCUCCCAAAAGCCGAUGUAGUCGGGGUGGGUCCAAUGCUCGGUGCGGUACUGUACGGUACACCGGGUGUGGAAACGACGUGCGAGAGUAAGAAGCUUCGGGUGGUAGUAGGCGUCACCAUGUAAGUCAAAAUAGAUCACCACUGUCCAUCCCUUUGCCAGAAGCGCAGCAUGGUGAUCUUGGCUAUCUCCAUCAUCAUCACUACCACUGCCAUGGUCGCUCGAGUCAGAGCUGUCAGAACUAUCUCCAUCAUCUGGAUCACCAGCUCCUUCUUGUUCAUCUUGCUCCAUGGGCUCCUCUUCGGUUUCCUCGUCUUCAACUGGUUCCUCUAUCAUGACUUCCUCCUCAGCAUCCUCAUCCAUGGGUACAUCCAUGGUUCGUUCCUCUUGUGGAUCCUCCUCCAUGUCUCUCAGUGCUUCAACCAGAUGCGGGGGAACACGCUUGCCUAGAGUGAACCUUGUCCUCUUGUUGGGCAUGAUGACACGUUUUCGAGCUGUCCACUUGGUACGGGCCAUCUAUAUAAGAAAAUAUAUGAGGAUUAGAACAAAAUAAUUUUCUCAAUAGAUAUUAGGCAGGUUAUAAGCAAUAAUUUUAUAAGAAAAUAAUUAGUAAAAUAAGUGCUCAAGACCCUAAAAACGUCCAUUUCUAACUAGGCUGAUCGUCCUACAGUCAGGCUAAGCUUUGAUACCAAUUUGUCGCACCCAGUUUUGAUAACAAAACCAAGUACUCAAAUAUGUGCGCCCAGGAUGUCCAAACACACAUAUUAUCACAAAUUGUAAAUAUAUCAAAGUAAAGUACUUUAUUACACCGCAUAUUCAACUUAAAUAUCUCACAUAGUCUUGCUCAUUGGCAACAUUAUUACAUAAAGCGGAAAGCUAAGCCCUUGCUGCCACAGGGACGCCAACUGGUGAACACCAGCUCUUUAGAAGUCCUGGACAUCUUCAGGGAACUCCCCAGAACACACAUCUGUUACCCAUCUGGGAUUUUCAUUGAAAUAUAAACAAGUGUAAGCGCACCAUGCUUAGCAAGUAUAACAUAGGGGUAUAUGAAGGCUCAAAGGCUUGACUCGGUUUAACAGCGGUUAGCAUUUUAAUUGGUCAUAUUUUAUUUACCAAGACUUACUACUUUUAAUGAAUGACCAACCCUGGUUACAUAAGAAUUAAUCAAAGUUAUUAUAUUCCCCAAGUAUAGCCAGGUAACCGCUAACCAAGAAGGAUCCAGGUCGCUCAUGACCGAGAGCUCGGCUGUUAUAACAAGUUUUAGAUUUCUGCAGAAAUUGUACAACUUUACCCCCGAGCCGUGGUUCCCUAGUGUCGGGGUUUGCAAGGCCCACACCACUUCUACCGAGGAAGUGUGACCGGGUCCCACUACGUAACCUUUCACUAGUCAUCCUAACAAAAUAGUAGCCGCGAGGUUUCAGUGGCAAGUGUGCAUAGACGACCUCCUUCAAGAGGCGCAUGUGGUCGCAGCACUGUACACUCCAAGGUAGGAGUGACAUCUAUACACCACGAGGCACCCCCCUCUAGCGCCUUUCGGUAACUACUAAAUUGCUAGAGUCAUACUAGUUAUAUGAUUAAGGUCAGAGCCAUUUGACUCUCGGGAUUGUACGUGUCCUCCUGGGUGGCCGCUUCAGGAUUAAGUCCUUAUGGAGAGGAAUCUAGAGCUUUCAAACCCAAGCUCUAGCCCCCUGAACCAAGUUACUAGAACAUAUUUUAUCACGUUGCAUAUACUACUUAAUCAGAUUAAUUUAUUAACUUGGGUUUUGAGCGUAGCAAGCAACUAACUAAAUAAAUGCACACCUUCCCAUGGGUAACAAGGAUUUGUGGUACAAAAAUUAUCUAGGUAAAGUCCUUAUAGGUAUUUUAAUUUAGACACAUGCAUAUGUAUGAUUUAAAUAAUAUUCAUAGGUACAAGGAAGCCUAUAUUACACUUGCCUUCCUCAAAAAUUUCUUCUUGGUAGAGCUCCACAAACUGCUCCUCAACCACUCCAACGUGAUCUCCUUCUAUUCGUGAUCCAAACACCAAUCAAGCAUCCAUUCCAAUCAUCACAUGCAUACAAAUAGAGUUCUAUUAGAACAGUACACCAAACAGUGAAAACAGUGACUGAAAAGUACAUAAAUCUACUCUACGCAUUUCUACGAGCACAUGAGCGAAAGAAUCACUCCAAUCGGAUUUAAAAUGUGAAAGUUAUGCAUAAAACAAACUGAAUGGCAUUUCUGUGAAUAAACUGAAUUAAAAACGAAUUUAAAAGAAUUAAAAACUGAAUUUCUAACGGGUCUGGACCACGCGCACUAAUAUUUAAAAGUAAGGGUUCAAAACGAAAGAAAACAGGAUUAAAAAGAAAUACUUUUGAACUGGAUUGGACCGCGGGUUGAUUUGCUUGAAAAAGGGGGGUUAAAGUGCAAAAACUCCAGCGGCCCGCGGCUGACCGCGUUGCUGGCCGACAGGGGGGCACGUGGCGCGCGGGGGUUGGCUCGGUCCACCACUGUGCGCGUGGACCGGCCGGCCGAGUGCCGUGGACCGCGCCCAUGGGUCCACGGUGGACCGGUUACAUAACCCCGAAGGGGUAUGUAAUCUGGGCCGUUGGGAUCUAAUCGGGCGGCUCAGAAAGGAGGGAGGCGGGGCGCUCGCCUGGCCGAGGCCGAGCACGGCGGCGCCAUUGCCGCCGACGAGGUGAGCUCCUCGGAGCUCGCCGGAAACUCGUUCCUGACCACUCCAAACAAAAAUAAAACUACCGAAAUGAUCAGCGCGACGAGGCGAACACGAUAGGGCACAAAGAGAGGGCGGGGUGCACGUCGGGACGACGGCCCCGCGGUGGCGCCAUUUCCGCGGCCUCGGCGAGCCUUGGGCUCGGCGGUCUAACACUCUAGCUCGAAAUUGAAAGCACGGGGAGCAUCGUAGGUGUACCGCGGUUCCGUUGGAGACGUUCACGGCGUCCGAAGGUGCUCCGAGCAGUGUGGCCACGAGCGCGGCGGUCUGGGGAAGAAAAUGGCGACGGUGAGCUCAAAUUCAUGGCAUACAAGAUCAAAACAAAGAUGAAAUCGGUGCCUACGGUCGCGGCGAGUCUCAACCAAGCUCCCGGGACGCUCUCUGGGCUCUGGGUCGCUCGAGCAAUGGGAAACCGAGGUGGGGGAUCGAAACUGUGCUCCGGUGGUGGCUAGGGGCAGCAAGGGGGGCUCGGCCUGGGGUUUUAUAGGGCGAGCAGGGGCGUUGAGGGGGCGCGCAUGUGGGUGUUAACUCCCGGCGUCAAGAGGUUUGAUGGAGCCCCGAUUGAUGGCCUCCAUCAAUCGGCGUUUGAAGAGGGGAUGAAUGCUCCUAGCUGCGUUCCCGGCUCGGUGGAGAAGAAGGGGGGAGACGCUGACGUGCGGACCCCACGGUGCAGCGAGAGAGAGGGGGAAGGGUGAGCGCCGACAGGCGGGACCCACCGCGCAGUGAGAGGGGGAGAGGGGGAGGGCGCGCGGGCUGACCGCGCGGAGCGGGCUGCGCCACUAGGCCGCGCGCGCGCGUUGUGGGCGAGGGGCGGGAUGCUGGGCCGCCACGGCCCAAAGCCAGGGGUGGGCGCGGGGUUUAGGCCAGCCAGGGUUUGGGGGCUGGGCCAGAUUUGGUGAAGGGAAAAAAAUAAGAGAAAACUCUUUUAUAUUUUUCAGAACUAUAUAAUUGUAUAAAUUCCUUUCAAGUUGAUUUUUAAACCAAACAACCUAGUCUUACAAUCAAUCAAAAUAUUAUGCACCAGCGUGAAUUGUGCCAAAUUGAAUACUAAUUUUAAAAUAAAUUUUUAGGGUGUUACAAAUAUAAAUAUAUAUAACUAUGAAAAACCAAAUAAAGAUCUUGUGCUUAUAUAUAUAUAUCUUUUGCUUAGUGUGUUUAAUAAAUAAAUAAAGUGGCUAUGCUAAUCUGUAUCUAAAUAAAACUCAAGCUUGGAUAUGAUGAAUAGUUGCUCUGCCUAAUUUGCACAUUUUAAGUUCUCUCUCAAGUUUAGACAUAACUGUUAUAAUUUAAAGCUUGCUCUAGACCUAAACUUGUGGGAUGAAAACUUGAUCUGAAGUCUAAGUUGCUAACGGAUACGAUAUGGGAAGGUUGAGCUGCUAUUUAUCUGUUCCUAGAGAUGCUAGAAUUCUGGAGAAUUUUGUCUUUGAAAAUCUUUAAAAUAUUGCAUGAUGAGUUCCUGUAUGAUGAGAGUUUAAAUUCCUACCACAGCCAUAUAUAUAUGCUUGCUAGACUUUGAGCCACACAUUUACUAUUUACUGCUUAUGAGCAUUGAGUGUGGUCAAGCUGUGUAGACCCUUAGAAGCUUGUCAUGUGGUUAAAUCAAGAUUUCACUUGCACAUUCACUCAUAUAUGCUACUUCUACUCCGAAAGUACCAUCCACAUAUAUCCAUCAAUUUCCAUCUCUAGAAUCACCUAAAAAUAUUCUACUCCUAAUCCGGGAGAGAAUAACCAAAAAUAUUUCUGUUUUUCCCUGUGAAAUAAAUGCUCAAGUUAUCUUGUUACUACCACUUGCUAUAUUAUCUCAAGACUGAGUGCUCUAAUAAAAAGAGAUACGAGGAAAUAAAAAUGAGCAAGUGCUCGGAACCUCGAAAGAAAAGAAAAAGUGAGACGUGAGGUAAAAAUGGAUAAGUGUCCGACAGUAGAAUUAGGGGUAUGAGAUACCCACCUGAGAGGAAAGAAAAUGAAGAGCAUCUCAUUCUCCUCACUAUUCAAAAAGCAAGGAAGGUAUAUAUCCCCUUAAAGAGCAAAAGUAGAAUUAGACUUUCACCACUGUUACCACCAUCAUCACCAUACACCAUUCAUUCGCCACACAUGCACAUCUUGAUUAAACUUAUUGACUUGUUACUUUGGAUCCAUGGUUUGACUAUACAAUAAAUGUCUUCUAAGUAUGUAUAUUUUAUCUCCCACCUAAGAAAUCCAGAUAUUAAAGCCGUAUUAGAGUAGGGUGAGAGAUAAGAUAAUGUCACUAUGCUUCAUACCACAAAUACUACAUAUCUUGAGAGAAGGCAUAUACCAUCACUGCCUUGGUAAGGAUCUAGAAAUACCACAAAAGAGAGAUUUGAGAGAAACAUACAAGGAAUCUCUGAGUUUUAUUUGAAAAUCUGCAAAAACUUCAGAGCUAUAGCUGAUCAAGAAUAAGAGACAUGACACUUGACUAGACUGUUCUAUAUUUUAACUACUCAAGACAGAAGUGACGGUUACAAGUCCCAUGGUGAAAGGUAAAGUAAGUAAGUUUUAAGUCUUGACAGUUUACUCUAACUCAGAGAUGAGAUCUUAUUUAAAAACAUGUGUACCGUCAAAUUUUUUUAAGAUAUUGCAACAACUUAUGAUCCAUUACUGAGUCUAUCUUUGCUCAGGGACGAGCAAGAGGUAAGCUUGGGGGAGUUUGUUGACGGUCCUUAAGUAUCAAAAUUAUUAAUCAAAUAAACAAAGAAAAGGAUCCAAAUGAAAUCAACAUCUAGACUUAGGGUUUUAUCUGACAGAAUUCCACGAGUUUUGGUGUUUGUCUAUUUCUACAGGGGGUUAUCAAGAAAUAUGGAAGAAAGGCCCACACGUCGGGAUUACAAAGAGAUAUUAACAUGCCACACAAUUAUCUUACAUCUAGAAGACUCCAGAAGCCACGAGACCGAAGCGGAGACGAAACGGGGCCAGAGGCAGGGCGCCCGCCCCCUCCCUGAGUCCAAUCAGGACUCUGCUUCGUGGGAGAUCUCCACCGACCUAAAGGAUGAAUCUAAACCAUACAAUCUAUGUCGGUUUGAUCCAACGGCCCAUAUUUACUUGAAGGGACUAUAAAACCAGACCCCCUGGCCCCUGGAGGAGAGAGCCUCUCAACCCUAAUUCAUUAUUCCUCAAGGGAGAAGAAGCCUCUGAUCAAGAUUAGAGCCACCACAUCAAUUAGACAUCUAGAUUAGCAUAGCUACAUAGGAUUAGAACUAAAAGGAGUUAAUCUUUGAUUGGUUUCCGGAUCUGUCAAGAGGAUUCUUGGUAAUUCUCUAAUUGUGCUUCUAAUUGCUUUCUAAUUAUUGUUGACGGUCCUUAAGUAUCAAAUUUAAUUAUCAAAUAAACAAAGAAAAGGAUCCAAAUGAAAUCAACAUCUAGACUUAGGGUUUUAUCUGACAGAAUUCCACGAGUUUUGGUGUUUGUCUAUUUCUGCAGGGGGUUAUCAGGAAAUAAGGAAGAAAGGCCCACAUGUCAGGAUUACAUAGAGAUAUCAACGCACCGUGCAAUUUUCUACCAUCUAGAAGACUCCAGAAGCCACGAGACCGAAGCGGAGGCGAAACGGGGCCAGGACAUGGGCGCCCGCCCAGUUUCCUUGGGCGCCCGCCCACCUGCCGAGCCCAAUCAGGACUCUUUCUCUCAGGAGAUCUCCACUGACCUAUUGGAUCCAGAAUAACGUAGUACCACAUCGCCUACCGACAUGAAGAAGUUAUCAUAGAGAUUGAGGGGUGCCCUCGAAGGAAAACCUCUUCUCUAAAUAAUAUUUCUUUUUAGGCUUAGCAACCAAUGUAAGGUAGAAAUAGAUCUUCUAGUUUCUACUAGAUUGAGAGAGAUAGAGUGGAGGUGUGGAUCAGAGGAAGGCCGGCCUGUCGGUGUCUACUCCGAGUUGUACCUACGGGAUCAAGUCUCCUAACCUGAGGCUUGCUUCUAAGAUUCUUCAGUAAUUCGACUUCUAAUUACUAGUAAGUUCUUGUUUUAUUGUUCUUUGGUUUAUGAGUUUACUUUAAUCCUCUUCCGGUUGAGUAUUAGAGUAAUCACUUGCUAGCGUAAACGUGGUGUUUAGGCUAGGGUACUCAUAGAUAUCCCCUGACUAGCUGGACCGUGGUAGUAGCGAGGAACGUGACAUUUCCGAGUUACCUUUGUAUCCCAUAUCUUGUUAGCAGGACGGGUAGGGUUUAUAGGUGCGGGUCGAACAUCCUUUGUGUUGUCUAGAUUCCGUGAGCUUCCCCAAUAGAACAGUAGAUCAUCCUUACCAAGGUUAGAACGAGACUACGGUUGCAGUCUUCUCUAUACAUCACUCACAUCGAGAAACAUUCUUUGUAGCCUAAAGGGAUAGUAGCAAUAGAUUUGGUUAGUCAGAUGCACCCUUUCUCCCAGUGGUAAAAAUAUAAAUACGAUACUCUGGAAAACCUCCCGGGUGAAAUGCUCACCGAUAUCCGUGCGCUUGCGGAUCAUUUCCUGAUUGCGUUACCAAAUAUCAACAAUUAUCUUUGUUCUUCAAUAUUAUGAAUAUGACUUUGUUCUACUUCAAUAUAUUGCUUAUGAUUUUGCUCUACUUGCUUAUAUUCAAGAUUAUAUUGUUCUUAGUUUAUCAUAGUUAUGUACUUGGCUUAGUUAGAUUGGAUCUAUAUACAUGCUUAGGAUCGUAUAGCGUUUAUCCAUUGGAUCCAUGGGUAAAUGAUAGAUAUUGUGUAGGCAUGGUGCUUAUACCGUAUUUAUCUGCGAUUGUACCCAAUAUGUCAAAUCGUGGGGUAGUUCGUGAUAGUGACAGCUUCAUUUAUUCUUAUAUAGUCCCUCUCUCGUGUAUUGGGCUGGCAGAGCAACAUUAUUACAGGGGAGUGAUUGCUAUGUUUCUCAUUUACCUUGCUAAUAUCACUAUGCAUGGGCGUAGUCUUGGCUCACAAUGAUUGCUAAGUAUGCUUGUACUAACUAUGAUAAUGCUAGACUAUAUAGUUGAGAAUAACUUAGGGAAUAUUCUUGUAGUUCGUUCUAAUACCAUGCUAAUGACUUUCUAGAGUAUGUAAUUGAGGUGCUUAUCAUAUUUAUAUGUGGCUGAUCAGAUUAAUUAUCUUUGUCACUAUUCAUUACUUCAUAUAUCUUUUAUGACACUUAUCCCUGUAUGAAAGAGUUAGAUAACUGUUCUCAAUUAUACUUGCAAUGAUAGAUACUCAAUCUCAUAUUCUAUUCUCUAAUCAAUAUUGAUGAUUGCUAAUCCCUUCCCAGUGGUAAAAAUAUAAAUAACGAUACCUAGAAUACUUCCCGGUUAAAAUGCUACAUCGGUAUUAAUCUGUGUGCUUGCAGAUCCAAUUCAUUAUUUAUUUAGAAGAGCAAUUGCAUAUUUCAAUACCGCGUCUCUCAUGUCAUGCUGGGGAUGACAACUUGGCUUAAGUGGUAUGAGGGAUAGGUUUGGCAUUUUUGGCACCGUUGCUAGAAUUAGAAAACUGUCUACUUUUGGUAAUGAUGUUAAGAAUACCCAACAUGUAAAGAACCCAAUUAAAAGGACUUAAGCCGGGCGGAGUUUUGCAAGGUUGUAGUAACUCCAUCUGUGGCAGCUAAGGACCGAUCGUUGUACGUCCUCUUAUCAUGUUGAACGCAUGCCUAACACUUAGUUGGCCGGAUAACUCGUUCCGACCGCGAAGCCUAGUAGUAUGACUCAGGCCGGAAGACCGACAAGUAUAAAGUGCGCACUACCGGAGGAAGUACGGUGUGCGGAGGACCAUUGGCGUAAGACCAAAGGCAGGUGAGUUAAAAGUCCUGACCUCUCUGGCUGAGUGGUAGCCCUGGGAGUGCGGCGCUGAUCGGAGCCGCGAUUCUUGAGUCGUACCAAAGGUGACCCGUUUGCUCUCCGACAGGGGAUGCUUGGGUGAGUGCUAGGAAUAACCGUCCAGCUGGAUAGGAAUGGAUUCGAAUCGCCAUCUCUCCCGGAUAGUGAGAACUUGACAGAGCAGCAACAAACGUAGAAAUCACUAAGUAACUAUGGUUCUUGAUAAUGAUGUUGAUGAUAGCAAGGAAGAACAUAUGAUGAACUAGAUAUGGUUAUUAUUGCUUAUAUUAAUCGAGUGAAGUGCUUAGUAUAGGUGCUAAUCUAGUGGUAGGCUAAUGAUGAGUAAUAUAAUGCUUUUACAUAUGGUGUAGUAUCCACUUAAGCUUUUGGCAAAAUGUUGAGUCAAGCCAGCUAGACUUUAUACUCAGACUUGUAUGAUCCUUGGUGUCUUUUAUGUUUUACUAGAUGGGUAAGUCUAGCUGAGUACAUCCUCGUACUCAGGGUUUAUUCCCACCUGUUGCAGAUGAUGUUUUUUAUGAUGGCUUCUGCAAGACCUGUCUCCAUCCCGCUGGGGAUGAGGACUAAACCAUUGGGCAUGGUUCUCUAACGUCUUCGCACCUUGUUGCUUUUGAUGAAUGGCAUGAGACUCUGGCAAUAACAAGAACUUUAGAAUGUGUGUUGUAAACUAUUUUGCUUCCACUACUGUGAACUUGGGUUGUAAUAACUAAGUAACUCUGAUGUGGUGCCGCUUCGACGGCAAUGAAUGACUAUGUAACCUUUGUUGUGUUAUGUUGAACUAUUACGAUCUUGGUUUGUUGCAAGUUGGUUUGAAGUCCUUCGAGAUUUCAGUUGACUACCGGGAUUAUAUGGGCUCAAGUCUAGAAACUUGAUUGCUAGUUGAUCGUUUCUACACUUGAACUCUUAUAAUUUGGUCGGUUCUGUGACAGCUGGUAUCGGAGCAAGUUCAGCAUUAUAAAUGCAGCGUUUGUGUAUUUAAAACAAAAGAAUUUUUAAAUAAACUGUGAAAAUCAGUACUUAAGUUAUGCCAGUGGUCGAAUCCUCCUUGCCCAUAUAAGGACUUUAGGUGGCUAUUUAAGUACUGGCUUGGGGGGUUUUAUUUAUGCAUCUCCGGCAGUACUUAGGUAUGGAUGUGUGAUGACCGCACUAUGCUACCCUGGGGUCUAAUGUUAGAGGUAGCCUUCAUAUGUGAAUUAGCCAUAUAUGUCGCUAGAUUUAAAUUAUGCAACGUCGCAACUACGCUCUGGUAAGUGUGAGCUGUGAGAGCAUGAUCGUCCAAAUGGCGGUCUAGGGGAGUGUUCGCGGUGGUUUUCUGCAGUGGUUACAUGUCAAACCAUGGAACCACGAAAGAAACUUAAUUGGGGAGCAUUUAAUUUCUCGGGUAGCUAUGGUGUCAUUGUUUGUGCAUGUUGGGCAUGUAUAAGCAAUGUGCACUUAGUUUACUGCUUUCUUGAGUGAAAUAUUGGGAAUUGUUGGGCUGCAAUGAAGUUUUCUGCAGGUACUCUAACAGCGCACGUGUAAAUCGAUAGUUAUCGUAUUGAGAGACGAAUGUAUGCCACCGUAUAUCCGUUAGAAUAUUAAUUUUCUAAGUUUGUGAGGAUGUGUCGGUUCGUGCAUGCAUCAUGUCGCAUUUAUACAUACAUUCUGUCUACUCCUUCCCUUACAAUGUCGUCCCUUUUAAUUAAAUAAAUGUUGCUCAAAUUAAUGCUCUCUUACCCAUGGUUAUUCCUUUCCACAGAUGGACGUGCCCGCUUCACCUUGCCCCAAUGACACCUUUCUGAGCGAGUUUGGCACUCCUACUCUGCUCUGGAGGGUGCUGCAGUCUGUGGGGUAUACUGAGCCACCUCAGUAUUCUUGGUGGGAGGUGGAUAUGACAGGAGACUUGCAGUGGUUCGCUAUGUAGGGAGUUGUCCCCCCACAUGGGGGCAGACCUGCAUGGACUGGGUGGACCUGCAACUCAAAUGGGCAGACCCCAUGGGAAGCAGCUCAGAUUGCAGCCCAUGCUAUAUUGCUCAACAUCUGUCAGAGGUUGGCGAUGAGCUGACAGGAGGGCCAGCAGCCUCCAUUCCACAUGUUGACCCAGCAGCAGCGGAGUGGAAGCAGGCUGAUGGUUGUGCGUUGGUCCGAGGCCAAGGAGAGCGAGCUGAGAGUUUCAGUCCUGCUAUGAGUGCUAUGAUGGCUGUGCUCAAGCUGUUCAGUCAGCGAGAGGACACCUAUACAUAGGUGAUGGUGGCUAUUCGCUGUGCUCAGGAGAUGCAAUAGAAGGCUGAAAAGCGUGCUCGCAAGUUUCGCAAGCAAGCUAGACUUCUGGAGCAAGCCCAGAAGGACCGCAAUGACUGGGAAGACAUUGCGGAGUAUCGCUGGUAGUAGUGGGUGAAGGCCAUUAGAGAGAGAGAUCACAAGCAGGACCAGGUGAGUCAGUUGGCUAGAGAGAAGGAGACCGUGCAGGAGCGCUUGGUGCAGAUCACUCGUGAGAGGGAUAAUGCACUCCGUGUGUCGGAGAACAGGCACCGGGCAUGAGAGAUGCACCAGAUCCAGUCGCUUGAGCGGGAGAACUAUCUACAGGAUCUGAUUGAGGCUGGUCUUGUGGAGAUUCACUGUCUCAACAACUUGCUACACCCUAUUCCUCGCCCUGUACCUGUGUAUCUAGAGGUGGGACCUCAGGUGAUCGUGGCUGAUGAUGAUGGUAUGGAGGUAGAUGGACCGGCCGCGGCUACACCACCUUUGCAUGAGGACGUGGAGGACAAGGAGCUUGAGCCGGUUAGCGACGAGGAUGGAGAGGCGAUCUUCAACGCUGACUCAGACGACGAGCCUAGAGUGUAGUGGGUAGUUGGUAGUCAUCCUGUGAGGAUCUUUUGUAGAAUGAUAGUCGGCAGUUAUGCUUUUGUAAUCAUGUUGUAAUCUGGAACCUUGACCUUUGACUUAUGGCCUGUACUGUGAUGGUGUAAUAACUUUGUGGACGCAAUGUUGUUAACUGUAUCAUGUUCGAUCAGUUAUGAUGAUAUUUUCCGUUGUUGUGCAUAUUGCGGAUAUCUGUGUUAUGUGUUGGAAUUGGUGAUGUUGUUUUGUGGAAUUGAAUUAUUGUGCCUUUUUUUUGUAAAGUUAUUCUCUCGAAUACUUUUAGGCAUGAUUAUAAGUUCUUCUACGGCAAAUCUUGUCAUCAUCAAUGCUCACUGACUAUGUCUUUACAGAUGUCUCGUGGCACUCGAGGUGCAGAACAACGUGCGAACAUGAACCCACCCCCUCCUCCUCCACCACCAAAUCUAGUUGAGCUGAUGCAAAUGAUGGUGGAAAAUCAGAGGCUGCUCACUGAAACCAUCAAUCAGAUGGCAAACCAGGGUGGUCGGAAUGCACCAAAUGGGCCAGCACCUAAUCAGUAUAGUAGCUUCAAGGAUUUCAUGGAUACCAAGCCUCCAUCUUUCAGAGAGGCUGAAGAACCCCUUCAGGCUGAGGAGUGGCUGAACACGGUGGAACAAAAGUUUCGCUUGCUUUGGUUGACCGAUAGUUUGAAGGCCGAGUAUGCGGCUCAUCAAUUGCAGGGUCCAGCAGGCAUCUGGUGGAAUCAGUAUCGGGAGGCUCUUCUAGCCAACACUGUGAUUGUCUGGAAUCUCUUCCGUGAAGCUUUCAAGGGGCAUUUCAUACCUCCUGGUGUCAUGGAGAUGAAGCAUACUGAGUUCAUGCAGUUAACUCAGGGCAACAGAACUCUGAAAGAGUAUUUACAUGCUUUUAAUCAUCUAUCAAGGUAUGCUCUGGAGUUUGUGAGCACGGAGUCGAAGAAGAUUGCUAGCUUCAAGCGGGGUCUUGGCCCCAAGUUGCUGAAGACUAUGGGCUGCACAAAGUGUGCAACUUUUAAUGAGUUUGUCAGUGAUGCUCUUACCCAAGAGAAUUACAACACUGUGUACACUACGACCAAGACUCGCAAGAGGGCUUUUGAGGCUGAGGCAGGGGCAUCUCAGUCCAAGGCUCCAGUGGCAGCUAGGCCCCAAUAUCGUGCUCCAACUCCUAACCAGCGAUAUCGCCCUCCAGCAAAGAAGAAUCAGGCGAAGACGGGGUUCCGCAAGGGGUACUCCAUUGCUCUUCCUAGGGGCAACACUGGGCCCAGCUAUGCCAAGACUCCACCUGCCAACCGUCCGUGCUGGAACUGUAAUUAGACAGGGCACUGGCAAAGCUACUGUCCUUACCCUCCAAAGAAGGGCAACCAAGGGAACGUCCGCCAGGGGCAUGUUCACUAUAUGACUGUGGAAGCAAUCCCUGCUGGUGAGGUAGUUACAGCUAGUAAGUUUUUGGUUAACCAAUGUGAUGCACUUGUGCUUUUUGAUUCAGGAGCAUCACAUUCUUUUGUGAGUUCAGACUUUGUGUCUAAACAUAAUCUCAAGGUAGUUACGCUUGAUAAAGGCAGUUAUUGUAUUAGUGCUGCUGGAAAUGAUAUUUCUACCAAUCAAGUGGUUUUGGGGGCCACUCUGGAAAUAGGAGACCAUCAUUUUCUUGCUGAUCUGGUUGUUCUACCCGGUGUGGCUAUAGAUGUAAUUCUGGGUAUGAAAUGGAUGAGUGGCAACGGAGUUCUUAUCGACACCACCACUCGCGUAGUGAUGUUGAGAGACCCGAAUACCAAAGAGGCGUUAUUAGUGCAACUCCCUCGGGAUAUUCAUAUCCAUAGCACGAUGAAUGCAAUUACAUCUAUGGCCAUCAAGGAUAUUCUGUAGUGUGUGAGUUCCUGGAUGUAUUCCCUGAUGAUUUGCCCGGGCUUCCUCCAGAUCGGGAUGUGGAGUUCAAAAUUGAAUUGCUUCCAGGUACUGCUCCUAUCUCUAGAAGACCGUAUAGAAUGCCGCCAAAUGAGCUAGCUGAGCUUAAGACCCAGCUGAAUGAGUUGUUAAAGAAGGAUCUUAUCUGUCCUAGUUCUUCUCCUUGGGGUUGUUCGGCCAUCUUUGUGAAGAAGAAGGAUCAGUCCUUGCGCAUGUGUGUGGACUAUCGUCCCCUGAAUGCGGUGACCAUCAAGAAUAAGUACCCUCUUCCUCGCAUUGAUAUCUUGUUUGCUCAGUUGUCUAAAGCCAAGGUAUUCUCCAAGACUGAUUUGCGAUCUGGAUAUCAUCAGAUCAUGAUCCGUCCUGAAGAUGUACCUAAGACAGCUUUCUUGACGAGGUAUGAGUUGUAUGAGUAUCUCAUCAUGUCCUUCGGUCUUACGAAUGCACCUGCUCACUUCAUGUAUCUCAUGAAUUCGGUGUUCAUGCCUGAAUUGGACAAGUUUGUGGUGGUCUUCAUUGAUGAUAUCUUGGUAUAUUCUCACAAUGAAGAAGAGCAUGCAGAGCAUCUGCGUGUAGUGUUGAUGCGCUUGCAUGAGCAUCAGCUUUAUGCUAAGUUCAGCAAAUGCGAGUUUUGGCUAAAGAAAGUACCUUUCUUGGGCCAUGUAUUAUCUGAAGAAGGCAUAUCGGUGGAUCCGGAUAAGGUGUAGGAAGUGCUGGAUUGGAAGGUUCCAACUUUGGUGCACGAGGUUCGGAGUUUUCUAGGUCUGGCUGGGUAUUAUCGUCGUUUCAUCCCAGAAUUCUCAAAAAUAUCCAAGCCUAUGACUCGCCUACUUCAGAAGGAUGAGAAGUUUGUGUGGACGCCUGAGUGUGAAGAGGCAUUCCACAAGUUGAGGACAUUACUAACAUCAGCUCCUAUCCUAGCUCAACCCGAUAUUGAGAAGCCCUUCGAUGUCUUUUGUGACGUGUCGGUUAUCGGUCUGGGCUGUGUGUUGAUGCAAGAAGGUCGCGUUAUCGCUUAUGCCUCACACCAACUUCAAAAACAUGAGGUCAAUUACCAUACUCAUGACUUAGAAUUGGUGGCAGUUGUCCAUGCUUUGAAAAUUUGGAGUCACUAUUUGCUAGGUAAUCUAUGCAAUAUCUACACUGAUCAUAAGAGUCUCAAGUACAUCUUCACCCAACCUGAAUUGAACAUGCAACACUGGCUUGAGUUGAUUAAAGAUUAUAAUCUUCAAGUGCACUAUCAUCUGGGCAAGGCAAACGUGGUUACGGAUGCCUUGAGUCAGAAAGCGCACUGUCAUUCAGUUCAGAUAGAAGAUCCAUCAUUGGCACGUCUUAUGCACCCGCUUGUGCUCAACCAGAUUGCUCUAGAGAGUUCUCUUCGCAAUCGAGUCAUCAAACUGCAGCAAACAGAUGUAGGCAUCUACCAUAUAAAGAGGAAAAUGAAAGAAGAAGAAACCAAGCAUUUCCGAGUCGAUGAGAAUGGAAUCCUAUGGUUUAAGGAUCGACUGGUGGUCCCAAAAGACCGUGAGCUGCGAAAUCGGAUCUUAUCUGAAGCUCAUUCAUCCAAGUUGUCUAUCCAUCCUGGUAGUAGCAAGAUGUAUCAGGAUCUGAAACCUCUGUUUUGGUGGACAAAGAUGAAAAAGGAGAUUGCUGCUUUUGUUGCUCGUUAUGAUAAUUGUUGUCGUGUGAAGGCAGUUCACAUGAAAGUAGGCUUACUUCAACCCUUGUCAAUUCCUGGUUAGAAAUGGGAGGAAGUUAGUAUGGAUUUUAUCUCCGGACUCCUGACUUCUGUUAAGGGUUAUGACUCUAUCUAGGUGAUUGUAGAUCGUUUGACCAAGGUUGCUCGUUUUAUUCCAGUUCGAACUGAUUAUCGUUCACAUCAGUAUGCAGAGUUGUACUUCGAGCACAUUGUCCGUUAGUAUGGUGUGCCUCGGACUAUCAUAUCAGAUCAUGGACCAUAGUUCACUGCCCGUUUUUGGGAGUGUCUUCAUGAGCAGAUUGGUACUCACUUGGUUCGUAGUUCUGCGUAUCAUCCUCAAACGGCCGGCCAAAUUGAACGUGUGAACCAAAUAUUGGAAGACAUGUUGAGAGCAUGUGCUCUCUCUUCAAAAGGUUCUUGGGUAAAGUGGUUGCCGUUAGCUGAGUUCUCUUAUAACAAUAGUUACCAAGAGAGCAUCAAGAUGGCUUCAUUUGAAGCCCUGUAUGGUCGAAAGUGUCGAACCCCAUUGAAUUGGGUGGAACCUGGGGAACGAAGGUAUUAUGGCAUCGAUUUCGUGAACGAAGCGGAGCACAAGUCCAUACCAUCCAGCAACAUUUGGAAGCUUCUCAAGCUUGUUAGAAAAGUUAUGCUGAUAAGAGAAGGAAGCCGAUUGAGUUUGCAGUCGGUGACCAUGUGUAUAUCACGGUGUCUCCGAUGAAAGGCGUACAAAGGUUCCGAGUCAAGCGAAAGCUUGCACCUCGUUAUGUGGGGCCUUACCGGAUUCUCGAGAGAAAAGGGAAUGUAGCAUACAAGGUUCAACUACCGAUUGAGCUUUGAGCAAUUUUUCCUGUCUUUCACGUAUCACAAUUGAAGAAAUGCCUUCGUGUUCUAGAGGAACGAGUGGAAGUUUGGGAUAUCAAGUUGAAAUCUGACUUGGUGUAUGAGGAGGAACCUGUAGCGGUUGUUGACCGCAAAGAACGGGAGACUCGUAAUCGGGUGGUUAAGUUCUACAAGGUGUUGUGGAGUAACCACGGGGAGGAAGAUGCCACUUGGGAAACAAAGGACUAUUUAAAAGAAGUUUAUAAAACCUUCUUCGAAAAUCAGUAAGCUUCCAAAUCUUAGGACGAGAUUUUUGUAAGGGGGGAGGACUGUAACACCCCAGUGUUAUGGUUGCAUCAUUCACAUGCAUAACAUGAGCAUCAUCAUCUUCAUAAGCAUAUCAUGAUCAUCAUUUAUCUUGGGUCAUGUCAUUUUAUGUAAAAGUAUGUUUUAACUUGCUUAAAUAUGCUUCCUAUGCUUGUGUUGCUUGAACCAUGCUCAUGUUUGUGCUCUAUGCCUUGGUAAAUAGUUCAUCUAUGCUUAACUCAACUUUUGGAACAAUGUUCAUGUUGACCACAUCUCCAAAUUAAGUACCUAAGUCAUAUUUCCUUUUAUAAGCCCUAGAAACCUCUUUUGAUUAGGCUUUUAAAAAGGUUUUCAUAAAAUGUUUGCAUGUCAAAACUUUCUACAACAAAGUUGUAGCAAAUUUUAUAAGGAACAAAAGUUGUUUUAUGGCCAUCUCAUGAAAAUGAUCACCUCAAGCUCAAAAGUGGCCCACAAGGAAGAUUUGGGGCUGUUUCCAACACUUAGAAAUUUUUCUAAGUCUGGGAAUGCAACAGUUUGCUCGAGGGUGGAUUGGACAGCUUCCAGUUUAAAAUCUAGGCCGAAUCAAGUCUUGAUCUUGUAAGAAAAGUUGAAGUCCUCAUGUAGCUCUACAGCAUGGAGCAAUUAGCCAGCAAAAUCAUCGAUCAGUUUAGGAGAUAAUCGAAGUCCAAAAUCGAGUUUCACUCUGCUCUGAAACUGAAUGGAGGCAGCGUCAGCAGAGGGGGAGCUCGCCGGUGACGCCGCGUGUUCGACCCGUGACGUCCAUGCGUCGCCGUUGGUCCCGCUCGUCAGGUCAUCGACGCCGUCAUGGACGCCACGACGCACCGCACUCACCAGCACUCCUCCACUCCCUCCCUCUCUCUCUCUCUCGCGCGCGACUCCGACGGUGGAAACGCCAUCGCCAUUGUCGCCGAGAGCUCCGCGAGCUUCGCGCGUGCUCGUCUUCGCGUUUCACCUCACCUCCGCGUGUCUCUAAGUAUGCCUCGAGCUCCUCCAUCUUCUCCACCCCUUGGUUGGACGAGAUCUUCCCGAGGUGAGCCGCAUUUUGCGAGUUUGUCGUCCUCGGGUCCACGGCCGUCGCGACCCUGAUUCCGGUGAACCUCGCCGCUGCUCUGUCCUUGCCUUCCUUCUUCCCUCCGAGUCAUGUUAGAGUCUGUUUAGGUCUCGGUUGUGGUCCGUGCCACGCCAUUCCGGCUUUGGUGCCACCGUCGUGCGGGAACACAGCCGCCGCACCGCCGCGCUCACCACCGACGAGCACCCUGCACGUGAGCAGACUCACCGGAGCCAUUAGGGUUAGGCGUUUCUACCUAGAAAGCUCCGCACUGUCUCACUGGUGCUUAAGCCACUCUUCCCCGACGCUCUACCGGUCGGAGAUGGCCGGCGUAAGCCGAGGUGGCUCCGCAGUGCAGCCAUGGCCGACGGCGACCCCUCUCCGUAGCUCCAACCUUAGGGUCACCUACCUCUAUCGAUGCGGAAUCACUCCAGGAGCACGUUGGUGCCCUUGGAUCCACUGGAGAAGCUCACUGUCGGCGAGCAUUCGCCGGCGAGUGUGUCCUCUGUUCUCUGGGUCGCUGACACGCGGGACCCACUAUUAGUGACACAUCGAUUCCCUCCUCUCUUUUAUUCAAAACCUAGAUUUCUUGCAAUCUUGCAAAAAUCAUAUCUCCAGUUCCUGAGAUCCAAAAAUUGUGAAACAAAUUUUGUGAUGAUCCUUGAGAUGGCUAGUUUUUAAGAAAAAUAUAAUAUGCACCAUGUUUUCUGGGAAAAAUAAUUAUUAUGAUUUUAAUCUUGUUAUUUGAGUGUAAAUUCAUAUCUGUUGAUACACUGCUUCAACUACUGUGAAAAGUUUAUGGUAAGCUCUAGGUGAGAUGAGAAUGCUAUGAUAAAUAUUUCAUGAUUUUGGGAGUACUGUAUCUUUGAUAUGUAAUUUAUGUUUGUGAUAUGGCUUGUUUUCAUAUUUAAAUCAUAAUAAAUGCUUGAUGCUUAUGCUGGUAUUCUACUUUGGUGUCAAGCUUGUUCAUAGUAAUAGUAAUAUGCAAAUAAUCUGAAAUCUGUUGUUUGACACUAUCUAAGCCAUGUUUCUUAAUUUAUGAAAUAAGCACCAUGUUACAUGUUAAAUGCUUAUCUUAAGUUUGGCAUGUGCAAUUGUUCUGAAAAUUUUAUGGUAAUGUCAAGAUGCUAUGUUUGUGCUUCUGUAAUUUUUGUAGAUUUUUCUGAGCACUUUUGCUAGUAUCUUGUAAUUAUGUCCUUUUAUGGAAUUUAAUUAAUAAAUACCAUAUUAUUAAAUGUUUAGUGGUCAACAUGUGAUGUUCUGGUAAUCUUAGGCUAUAUUUGUGCUUGUAAGCGUUUUGAUUGGCACUAAAUAUGUUUUGGCUAUGUCAUUAAAUAAUUAAUUAAAGGUUUAUAGCUGUUCUGGACAGCAAGGGAGUAAUCUGACCCUUGUUUGUUGAUAACUUAGUUUUCUGGAAGACUUGUCUAAAUCAAAGAUGUUGUAAACUUUAUGAACUAGCGGCAGUUUAAAUUUGGGAUCAUUUGGUCCAGUAGUUUAAAAGUUAUGGUUCUUCCAAGUUGGGUUCCAGAAAUAGGUGUUCUCUGUUUUUCUGGGACAGAACCUGAAACUUUGUUUAAUUGACCCGUUUAACUUGUGAAUCUUGCUGUGAUGUCUGAAGAUAAAAUGUGGACAAUUUCAUAAGCUUUCCAGAAUGUCCUCAUUUAUGUCUGUUGGAUCUGUAUAGAAAUAGUUAUGAUUUGUUUCUUGAGCUGCACUGUUAUGUGAUGAUUGCUGUUGUGGUUUGACUUGUUAAAUCUUGCUAAGUUAGUUAGUUAUCUUGUGUAAUCUUGUUUUGGGAGUUACUCCGUAAAUGAGUGUCCAGUGAAGUCCUACUUAUGUUACCAAGCAAUCAUCCUCAUCUAGUAUGCACGCAUUCUUACUCCCUGUGCAUGCAAUAGGUGCACCGGAAAAUACAACUUCGUUCGAGCUCCAGCAAGUGAACCCCGAAGGCCAGGAGAUCAAUCCGGAAGCGGAGGUCCAGCCAGCCGGACACAAGGAGCCCGAAGAGGAGGUCGAGUGCCCUAAUCAAGAGUCUGCCUCGUUCGUGAAAGGCAAGCCUCGGAGCAUCUUAAGUCUCCCACUUUAAUUUCGAAAGCUUACUUGAUUAUGUUAUAUCUAUUGAUGCAUUACGUAUAGGAGUUGUGAUGAAACCCUUGCUGCAUUAUAUCCUUUUCCUUGCCCAGAUAUCUUACCACUACUUGGUUGUAGAGUUAGGGUCAAGUAGCAGCUUAGCCAUGCUUUAAUCGGUAGAAGUCGGGUGAUAUCCUGUCACCUGCGCGAAAUAGGGUUGUGUCGGAUCACGAUUGACUAUAUGUGCUAUCGUGGGAAAGAACCUAAUUAAAAGGACUUAAGCCGGGCGGAGUUUUGCAAGGUUGUAGUAACUCCGUCUGUGGCAGCUAAGGACCGAUCGUUGUACGUCCUCUUGUCAUGUUGAACGCAUGCCUAACACUUAGUUGGCCGGAUAACUCGUUCCGACCGCGAAGCCUAGUAGUAUGACUCAGGCCGGAAGACCGACAAGUAUAAAGUGCGCACUACCGGAGGAAGUACGGUGUGCGGGGGACCAUUGGCAUAAGACCAAAGGCAGGUGAGUUAAAAGUCCUAACCUCCCUGGCUGAGUGGUAGCCCUAGGAGUGCGGCGCUGAUCGGAGCCGCGAUUCCUGAGUCGUACCAAAGGUGACCCGUUUGCUUUCUGACGGGGGAUGCUUGGGUGAGUGCUAGGAAUAACCCUCCAGCUGGAUAGGAAUCGAUUCGAAUCGCUGUCUCUCCCAGGUAGUGAGAACUUGACAGAGCAACGGCAAACGUAGCAAUCACUAAGUAACUAUGGUUCUUGAUAAUGAUGUUGAUGAUAGCAAGGAAGAACAUAUGAUGAACUUGAUAUGGUUAUUAUUGCUUGUAUUAAUCAAGUGAAGUGCUUAGUAUAGGUGCUAAUCUAGUGGUAGACUAAUGAUGAUUAAUAUAAUGCUUUUACAUAUGGUGUAGUAUCCACUUAAGCUUUUGGCAAAAUGUUGAGUCAAGCCAGCUACACUUUAUACUUAGACUUGCAUGAUCCUUGGUGUCUUUUAUGUUUUACUAGACGGGUAAGUCUAGCUGAGUACAUCCUCGUACUCAGGGUUUAUUCCCACCUGUUGCAGAUGAUGUCUUUUAUGAUGGCUUCUGCAAGACCUAUCUCCAUUCCGCUGGGGAUGAGGACUAAACCGUUGGGCACGGUUCUCUAACGUCUUCGCACCUUGUUGCUUUUGAUGGAUGGCAUGAGACUCUGGCAAUAACAAGAACUUUGGAAUGUGUGUUGUAAACUAUUUUGCUUCGCUACUGUGCACUUGGGUUGUAAUAACUAAGUAACUCUGAUGUGGUGCCGCUUCGACGGCAAUGAAUGACUAUGUAACAUUCGCUGUGUUAUGUUGAACUAUUACGAUCUUGGUUUGUUGCAAGUUGGUUUGAAGUCCUUCGAGAUUUCAGUUGACUACCGGGAUUAUAUGGGCUCAAGUCUGGAAACUUGAUUGCUAGUUGAUCGUUUCUACACUUGAACUCUUAUAAUUUGGUCGGUUCUGUGACAACAAGAAUGAGCCACUACGAGACUACAUCCGACAUUUCUCAAACAUGUACGAUGCACCUUAUAGUGCAUCUCAGUAUCAGAAUUUAUAUGGGGACUUUUUUCUUUUUUAGACCCUGGUACCAUGUGUCUACAUCACCUACUACUAGGCUUAGGGACUAAGUGGGCACACUUCACCUUACAGUGAAUAUGCUUGUUUUUUGAAAGUCUAUACUUUUCCAAAAAGUAAAGUGGGCACAUUUUAUCAAGAAAGAAAUCUUUUUUCUCAAGAGCACCAUGCAUUAUUCGAACAACCUGCUUCUUCGGUGUCGAUAUUGAUCAACUAUCUUUUGAGCUGGUUAAAAUACAAUUGCAACUGUUCGAGCGACUUUCCCACUGGUCAGAGACUUCAAGCCUCACUGAUCAAAGAAGCUCAAGACGACAUGUUGCAUCACAAUCAUGGUGCUCGGGAACUAGCUGUGGGGGUAUAAACCCCUAUACCCUUAUAACUAGACUUGGGCUAGGAGAUUUGGCCCAUUACGAGACAACUUGUGGCUUGAUUUAUCUACUUGGAGAUUCACGCAUGGAAACAAGACAUGGAGAUCAAGCAAGAUCCUAGCCGGUUGGAAUAGGAAUUGAUAUCGUACUGUCUAUAACAAUUGUAACCGACUAGGAUUACUUUCUAGAUUUGUAACCCUGCCCUCUGGACUAUAUAAAGAGAGACAAGGGAUCCCCUCAAGUCAAUUCAACACAUCUCAUAUCAAUACAAUCAGACGCAGGAUGUAGGUAUUAUGCCCACACGACGGCCGAAUCUGGAUAAAAUCCUUGUAUGUGUCUUGCAUCGCCAUCUAGUUUGUAGCUUGCGCACCUGUCUGCCAACAAUCUACUACCUUGGGUUUACCCCUAGAUAGACUACCGACUAGCUUUCGUCGACACCUCUCGAUUACGGGAUUAGGGUUGAAUGGGUUACACUGCCUCGAGCGUGGGAUGCAUCCCGCCUGCCUGCCAUCGGUAUGAGAUCCAGGGCAUUUAAUGCGCCUGACAGGCACCUAACACCAUGGCAGCCGCAGCUGUGAUGAUGGGUUGUACCCCCGUCGCGUCUUGCUUUUUACUAGCUUUGUCUUAGAAGUUGGGGAAAGGUAUGAGGCAGUUCUGUCACGCCCAGUGUAACAUCCCAUCGAACGACCCCUCAAGGCGUAAUUGUCAACAUUCCUUGAAUGGAACAUGCCCAAUCCGCCUAGCCCUCGAGGCCAUUAGAUGCUCUUCUAGGAAAGACCUCUCAAGACCAGUCUACACUCCAACAACUCCCGACGCGACGCCUGAGGAGCUGUGUGCGCAUGCAUACGAGUAUAGGCCUACUGUUAGGUGUUAUAUAGGAUCUCACAUGAGGAAACACAUGUGCCAUCAUCACCGAGUACACCGCUACAAGACCCGUCGAACGAUGCUGGUAUGGCGGCCUUGAGUUGACCAGCAUGCUUGCCCACGCCAUGAUCCAUGUUAGCCCUACCUCCAUGUUACCCUAUGCCUCCCCUUGGCCUAUAAAAGGGGACACCAGGGCUUAGAACAGGGCAAGCUCUUACAAUAGAAACCCACGCUCACAUGCACAACAAUGCUCACACCCUAGCCGCAUAUCGCCAGACCUUGAGGACUUAGAACCUCACACUCUCCCCUACUUGUAUUCACCCGUAUACAAGCGCUUCGGUGCAAGAUAAUAUAAACUCUCCCCCCACUAGACGUAGGGCCUUCUUUUCCUAAACCAGGAUAAACCAAUGUUGUUCUUCUUGCAUCACCAUCCGAAAGAGGGAGCACGCAUAUAAAUUCACUCAUUGGUGCUACCCCUGGGGUAAAACACCAACAGUUAGCACGCUAGGUAGGGGUCCUGCGUGUUUACUAACAAUCUUCCAUCUUACUUCUGGAUGGCUGACCUUGUUUCCUCACUUCUGCACUCUACGGUGAUCUGGUUUGGGAGUCUUGAGUUCAUGUCCACCGGAUUUGGCUAUGACAUGAUCCUACUCUCAACGAGGGGCCUGAGCAGAGCUCGCAUUGUGCCCCCAUGCUCAGGAGGGGCCGCACACCCCCUUGGUUGGGGAUCCAUCUGGCCUACGCUCGGGGAUGGAGAAUGGGCCAACAGACCGCCACGACAACUAUAGCUUCACCCUCGCAAUGUCGAGGGGACCCAACCCCAUGGUAAAGGAGCACGUGGUCUCUUCACCCCUCACCUUACUACCGCACGGACUAUUUGCCGACCAACAUCAGCUCCCGUUUGGCCUCAACAAUGUUGCCAUGACGUACUUUGCCUUGAUUCGUCCCAGUGCCAACACGCACGUAGAGUGACCAGUGAUCCUCUUGCGCAACAUGAUGGAGUUGGGGACAACCUGACCAGCUUCUGAGGAUUCAAGCUUUUCGUGAGACACGGGCCUCGAGUUCUCGGUCCAGGGUGGUAUACCUUACCACAAUGAGGCAGCAGUUGGUGGAAGAGUGGCAGGAAUGCUUGUACACCACUACCAAUCGUGACCCGGACUCCAAAUCUGACAGUUAUGACCCCAUGCAGGAAUGCUUCAACGUCAAAGACGGAGCCGUGGCCUCCAACGACGACACCACCGAGGACGACGACAACGGUGCUGCUCCCACACCAGCAGUAGGAGGUGACCCUAAGACUCCAGAGCAGGGGGGACAACUAGACCCACCUCCUCCCUAGAGCUACAAGGAUGGGUAGCUUGCAUAACUUUGAGAGUUGAAGGCCAAGCUCAACUAGGAUUGAGAGCGGCUGUACUAGCUAGAGCAAGCUCUCGAGCAGGACCACGCACCCCUACACGGCGGUGGAGCUCGUGGGCGGGCUCGAGACGUAUUAUGACAAAUCAUUGAAGAUGGGGAACCAGAGCGCCUUGUCAAUCGUUUCCCUUGAGCAGGUCAGAACAUCGUGGCAGCGACAAUGCUUCUAUGCAACAUGCCCAAGCCAUCAAAUCCCGAAGCACGCCGCAUACGGGAUGAGGUUCAGGGCUUGCUCGACGUCACGGCGGCAUAACAGGCCGAAAGCUUAGCCUCCACGCAUUGAGGAGCGGCCUCAGAAUGACCUGUCAAGCCAGCACGCCACGAGAGGGAGGUUUCUGUCCACCAAGAAGCGCCUCCUCAUGGCAAGAAAGCCACACCAGUUCAAGUGCGCAUCAUGACAUCAAUGAGCAUCGAUGACGAAAGUACGGGGACACCAAGGAAUGAGGCUAUAGUGCACACCGCAGCGGGCGCUAUGAUAGCAACGAGGACCGGAGGGCUCCUAAGCCACUAGGGCCUUGAGUCUUCAGCAAGGCAAUUCGCAGCACGCCACUGCCUAACCCUUUUUUCCCUGACAACCAUCACCAAGUACAACAUCGAGACUAAGCCCAAGUUGUGGCUAGCCGAUUUUUGGCUUGCGUGCUAGUUGGGCGGGGCUUGAGGGGACGACCAUGCCAUCAUCCGACAAUUACCUCUGCUCCUCUCUAACACUGCUCGCAGGUGGCUCGAGGAACUUCCCCCCAACCAAAUCCAUGACUAGACCGACCUACAUCACCCUGGCAACUCGUGGGACCUCAGCAAAUGCAAGCAAAAGACUGGGAAGUCUCUCCACGACUACGCUCGAUGCUUCUCCAAGCAACGCACCGAGCUCCCACACAUCCCAAACCACAACGUCAUCCUAGCGUUCAUGUCAGGCACUGCCUGUAAGGAUUUGGUGCGGGAGUUAGGGCGUAAUUGCCCAUAGACCGUCAACAAGCUGAUGGACAUGGUGGCCAAUUACACAGCCAAUGAAGAGGUGGUUGGAGCAUUCUUCAGUGAUGAGAAAUGUUGAUAUUUGGGAACGCAAUAAGGAAUUGAUCCACAAGCGCACAGAUAUCGGUGAGCACUUCACCCGGGAUGUUAUCUAGAGUAUCGUAUUUAUAUUUUUACCACUAGGAGAAAGAGUGCAUCUGACUAACCUGGUCUAUUACUACUAACCUUUAGGCUACAAAGAAUGUUUCUCGAUGUGAGCGAUGUAUAGAGAAGACUACAACCAUAAUCUCAUUCUAACCUUGGUAAGGAUCAUCUACUGUUCUGUUGGGGAGACUCACGGAAUCUAGACACCACAGAGGAUGUUCAACCCGCACCUAUAAACCCUAUCAAUCCUACUAACGGGAUAUGGGCAGCAAAGGUAACUCAGAAAUGUCACGUUCCUCGCUACUACCACGGUCCAGCUAGUCAGGGGAUAUCUAUGAGUAUCCUAGCCCAAACACCACGUCUACGCUAGAGAUGAUUACUCUAAACUCUACGUGAAGAGAUUAAAGUAGACUCAUAAACCAAAGAACAAUAAAACAAGAACUUACUAGUAUUUAGAAGUCGAAAUACUGAAGAAUCAUAGGAGCAAGCUUCGGGUUAGGAGAACUUGAUCCCGCAGGUACAACCUCGGAGUAGACACCGACAGGCCGGGCUUCCUCCGAUCUACACCUCCACUCUAUCUCUCUCAAUCUAGUAGAUCUAGUCUACUCUCACAUUGGAUGCUAAGCCCUAAGUCUAUUUAGAGGAAAGGUUAUCCUUCGAGGGCACCUCUCAGCUCUAUGAUGAACUUGUUCUCCUCCAGGGGCCAGGGGGUUUGCUUAUAUAGUCCCCUCUGGUGAACGUGGGCCGUCGGAUCAAACCGACAUUGAUUGAACGGUUAUCCUUGAUCCUUUAGGUCGAUGGAGCAUAAUCCACGAAGUUAGCUCUGAUUGGUGGAGACACUAGGGCGGGCGCCCUAGGGGGGAGGGCGGGCGCCCUACCCCCGGGCCCGAUCGCCUUCCCGUUCGUUCCCGUGGCUUCUGGAGUCUUCUAGAUGGUAGAAAAUUGCGCGGCACGUUAAUAUCUCUAUGUAAUCCUAACAUGUGGGCCUUUCUUUCCUAUUUCCUGAUAACCCUCUACAGAAACAGAUAAACAACAAAACUCAUGGAAUUCUGUCAGAUCAAACCCUAAUUCUAGGUGUUGUUUGUAUAUUGGUCCUUUCCCUUGUUUAUUUGAUAAUUAAAAUUGAUACUUAAGAACCGUCAACAAAUACCCCCAUACUUAGGCUUUUACUCGUCCUCGAGAAAAGGGUGGUUAAGAAAAAUAUCUAGGGUUAAAACAUUGUAAAACAUUCUCUUCAUACCUGCAGGGUGUAAAAAUUCACUGUGUACCAUAGUCAGGGAAAUAUAUGGUCAAGAGUAGAGGUCCUUUCUUCUCAAGCUUGUUACUUGGAAUUUUUUGUAUAUUUUUGAAAAGAAAUUUAGCAUACCUUUAUCCUCAUAGGUUCUCAAGUCACUCAUUAUCUUUUAUAUAUCUCACUGAGGCUGUUUUAAUUUGCAAAAAUUCUCAAGCAUACUUACCUUGCAUUUAUUGCCUGAUCAAAACAGGAUCCGAGGAGAGGAAUGCCAUACUCUUAGAUCAAAGACUUGGGAAAUUAGAAACUUGUCAACUCUUACUGGCAUAUUGCUUAUUAGAGGGACCAUGGGCUAUCAUUUUUUUUCAGGUGGAUACCGGGGUACCCCUAAUUCUACUGCCGGACACUUGUCCAUUUUUUCUGCAAGGUUGUCGAGCACUUGCUCCUUUUGAUUUCCUCAAAAUAUUCAUAUUUUUGCAUAGCCCAUGCUUCUAAUGCAAUAAUACUUCGGAAGAGUGAAUCUUUCUGAAUAAAUGUCUUGAUCUUAGGAGUAUGAUAAAUCUCUCAACAAGGGUCUAACUCAUUUUGAACAAACUCAAAACAGAGCAGAUAGCUGUUAUAAUUAUAAAUAUUUUCUGGUUUAGUAGGCAUAUAAAACACUGAGGAUGGUAGCUAGAAUUUUUGAAUAAAUUCUCCAAGCAACAAUGAUAUCAAGAAUAAGAUACUCAUACUCUACCAUCUCAUAUUCCACAAUGACUUAAGUAACACAUGGUUUUUAAAUGAUUUUUCAAUAAUUGCAGGUUUUCAUGAAAUAUCAUGAUUAGACACAUUUUAAUCUUUUUAAUUUAUCAUGUCGGAGAAAAUGUUUUGCAUAAUCCAAGAUAUAUGUGUAUGUGUAAAGUAAAGUGUGCAAAGUAUGUACUUGAAUCGUGGAGUGGUGUAGUCGAAGUGUGUUUGGUGUGUCGAGGGAUCUCCCCCAUACUUGUUUUCUGCAUUCUUACAUAAAAAUAAAGUAGAGACACACAAGACAAUAAUAAUAAUACUCUUUAUUAAUCUUGAGGCAUUUAUUACAAAUGACUAGUAAUGAACUGAAGCUAAUAAUAGAUCUAAACCGAAUUUAAGGAUAAAUAACUAAGAUGCAUUGCCUCAAGAUCUAAUUUAGAUAACUUAGCGGCGCUCUAACUCCCUGAUCUUCUUAUUGGCACUAGCAAGUGUUGAUAUUUGGUAACGCAAUCAGGAAAUGAUCCGCAAGCACACGGAUAUCGGUGAGCAUUUCACCCGGGAGGUUAUCCAGAGUUAUCGUAUUUAUAUUUUUACCACUGGGAGAAAGGGUGCAUCUGACUAACCAAAUCUAUUGCUACUAUCCCUUUAGGCUACAAAGAAUGUUUCUCGAUGUGAGUGAUGUAUAGAGAAGACUGCAAUCGUAGUCUCGUUCUAACCUUGGUAAGGAUGAUCUACUGUUCUAUUGGGGAGGCUCACGAAAUCUAGACACCACAAAGGAUGUUCGACCCGCACCUAUAAACCCUACCCGUCCUGCUAACAAGAUAUGGGAUACAAAGGUAACUCGGAAAUGUCACGUUCCUCGCUACUACCACGGUCCAGCUAGUCAGGGGAUAUCUAUGAGUACCCUAGCCUAAACACCACGUUUACGCUAGCAAUGAUUACUCUAAUACUCAACCGGAAGAGGAUUAAAGUAAACUCAUAAACCAAAGAACAAUAAAACAAGAACUUACUAGAAUUAGAAGUCGAAUUACUGAAGAAUCUUAGAAGCAAGCCUCGGGUUAGGAGACUUGAUCCCGCAGGUACAACUCGGAGUAGACACCGACAGGCCGGCCUUUCUCCGAUCUACACCUCCACUCUAUCUCUCUCAAUCUAGUAGAAACUAGAAGAUCUAUUUCUACUUACAUUGGUUGCUAAGCCUAAAAAGAAAUAUUAUUUAGAGAAGAGGUUUUCCUUCGAGGGCACCCCUCAAUCUCUAUGAUAACUUCUUGUCUUCUCCAGGGGCCAGGGGGGUCUCCUUAUAUAGUCCUCCUCCUCUAUGCGGUAGGGGAGGUGGUACUACAUUAUCCUUGAUCCAAUAGGUCGGUGGAACAUCGUGUGCGAAGAGAGUUCUGAACGGAGUCCAGAGGUGGGUGGGCGCCCAGGUCCUCAGGGCGGGCGCCCUGGGCCUGGCCCCUUUCGGCCUCCACUUCCUUCUCGUGGCUUCUGGAGUCUUCUAGAUGGUAGAAAAUUGUGCAGUGCGUUGAUAUCUCUAUGUAAUCCUGACAUGUGGGCCUUUCUUCCUUAUUUCCUGAUAACCCCCUGCAGAAAUAGAUAAACACCAAAACUCGUGUCAUUCUGUCAGAUAAAACCCUAAGUCUAGAUGUUGAUUUCAUUUGUAUCCUUUUCUUUGUUUAUUUGAUAAUUAAAUUUGAUACUUAAGGACCGUCAACAGCAAGAUCAUGCCUAAGACCUAGUAUAAUGGUGUUCUGGUUAGAGAGGUGCCUAGUGAUAGAGUUAACCGAGGACUGGAGUUCUAUGAUGACCCUGUCUAGCCUACGAACGUCCUCAUCAAUAUCUACUAUAGUCUUGCGACGCUUAGGAGGUGUCUCAAGAGCGUUGAGAGCGUGCUUCGGGGCUGCCUUUGGAGGGAUGAAACGGACUUUGGCUGCUCUACCCCCCUCAAAGUAAGGCCUCUCCUCCUCCAUAGUGUAGCGGAUGCUGCUGAUCUCGCCGCUCCGGUUGGUCUUGACUCCAACGACCCUCUCAUUGGGUCUGGGUGGCGGGAUCCUCGUGCCGGUUGGCACCUUGACGGUGGCCUCCUUCUUGGCUGACGGUCCCUUGAGAAGUAGGGGCUACGGCGGUGCGGUGAGAACUGGUUGAGCAUGGUAAGAUUGGUUGGAGCUGUGCUGGCAUAAUGGCAUGGCUUUAGCUGUCGCUCUGUGUUGGCCGGGACGAGAGCGCGGGCGUCGGGGUCUUCCUUGGGCUUCUUGUUGAGGUCGUAGGGGACGACUUCCCAAUCGUCGUGGAACUCUUCGGCCAUUGGAGCAGCAAGGAACUAAGCAAGCUCUAAUUGAAGAAGGAGAGAAUGCUUGAAUAGAUUGGUGUUUGAAAACUGACGUCAGGGGUCUGUUUAUAUUGGGGUCAAAAAGUGCCUCUAGGGUUUGCUCGGGCUACUCCCGCCGCCGUGCGUGCGAAACUUUCCAUCUAUAGGAUUAUUUGGUUUACCAUAAAUGUGUUUAUCGUGACGGAGGAAAAUCAGGACUGAGAGGGGGAUAGGGGCUGGGCGCCCACCCUCUUCAUCAGGGCGCCCGACCUGUUUUUGGCCCCUCUGUGGGCCCGCUUCCUCGAGUGUGCUUCUAGAUGCAGACUUUAUUAGGAAAAUAUAUUCGUGGCCCUAAAACAUGAGAUUAAAAAGGUUGGGCUCUAAUUCUCCAUGGGAAGGUAGAAAUGGAUCACGUCUAUCUCUUCUAAUUCUUUAUUGGGCUCUAAAAAUAAUUUAAGACGUUGACCAUGUACCUUGAAUAACGUACCUUCAUCAUUUUGAAGUGUGAUAGCUCCGUGGGAUGAUGAAUUGAUUACCUUGAAUGGUCCUUCCCAUUUACUUUGGAGUUUUCCAUGUCCGAAAAGCUUCACCCUGGAAUUAAAAAGUAAUACCUUAUCUCCGGGUGCGAACUCCUUCUUUUUGAUCCUCUUGUCAUGCCACCUUUUGACUCUUUCUUUAUAGAUCUUCGAAUUGUGAUAUGCUUUAUCUCGUCAUUCUUCCAAUUCUGAUAGUUGCAUUCUUCUGUGAUCUCCAGCGACAUCUAGGUCCAUAUUCCAUCUCCUAAUGGCCCAGUGUGCUUUAAAUUCUAAUUCAACAGGUAGGUGGCAAGUCUUCCCGUACACCAAUUGGUAUGGGGACAUUCCAAUUGGGGUAUUGUAUGCUGUCCGGUAUGCCCAAAGUGCAUCGGGUAACUUGUCCUUCCAUGCCGUUCCCAUUUCAUUGACUAUCUUCUGGAGAAUAUUCUUGAUUUGCUUGUUGGAAGUCUCUGCUUGGCCACCUGUCUGAGGAUGGUAGGGGGUAGCGACAUUGUGACGGAUUCCAUGUUUUGAUAGAUAUUGCUUGAAGCGUUUGUCGAUGAAGUGUGCUCCUCCAUCACUUAUCACUACUCUGGGGACUCCAAAUCUUGGAAAUAUAACUUCUUCAAACAUCCUCUUUGAACUGAUGUUGUCGGCGUGUUUGCAAGGUAGUGCCUCUACCCACUUCGAGACGUAAUCAACUGCCACCAAGAUGAACUCACACUUCUUUGAUGGGGGAAAUGGACCCAUGUAGUCUAUUCCCCAGACAUCAAAGAGCUCAAUCUGAAGGUUGUUGGUGAGUGGCACGACAUCUCUUGUGUUAAUGUUUCCAUGCCUUUGACAUGGCCCACAUCUUCUAAUAUAUUGCUUCGUGUCUUCAUACAUUGUAGGCCAGUAGAAUCCACAUUGCCAGAUCUUUGAAUGUGUACAGAAUGCUCCAUAAUGACCUCCAUAUGGUGAUGAAUGACACGUGUCGAUGAUCUUCCAUCCUUCCUCAGUGGUCACACAUAUCCUGAGUAAGCCAUCAGAGCAUACUCGGAAGAGGUAUGGCUCAUCCCAUAUAUGUGAACGACUUUCUUGAAUAAGCUUCUUCUUGUUUGCUCUUGGUGGUACAUACCCUGAAACCAUAAAAUUAACAAUAUCUGCAUACCAGGGGUUAGAUCUGUUAAUCCCAUAGAGCUUGUCGUCCCAGAGUGAAUCAUUGAUGGGGGUUUCUAGUGGAUUCUUAAAAUACAUUCUAGAUAAGUGAUCAGCAACAGAAUUUUCUACUCCCUUUUUAUCUUUUAUUUCUAAGUCAAAUUCUUGAAGUAAUAAGAUCCAUCUAAUCAGGCGAGGUUUAGCAUCUUUUUUAGUGAGCAGAUAUUUUAGUGCAGCAUGAUCAGUGUAAACAAUUAUUUUGGCUCCAAUUAAAUAAGAUCUAAAUUUAUCAAUGGCAAAGACAACAGCCAGAAGCUCUUUUUCCGUGGUUGCAUAGUUAAGUUGAGCUCCUGUCAAAGUUUUACUGGUAUAAGCAAUUGCAUGAUGCUUCUUAUUUUUAGUUUGUCCCAAAACUGUCCCCACAGCAUAAUCACUAGCAUCACACAUAAUUUCAAAAGGGAACGACCAAUCAGGGGGUUGAAUGAUUGGUGCAGAGAUGAGUGCAUUCUUUAAUAAAUUGAAUGAUGUUAAGCAUGCAUGAUCAAAUUCAAAAGGAGCAUCCUUGGCUAGCAAAAGAGUAAGUGGUCUAGCAAUAAAUGAAAAAUCUUUUAUGAAUCUGCGAUAAAAACCAGCAUGGCCAAGAAAGCUUCGAAUUCCUUUUAUAUCCACAGGUGGAGGUAGUUGUUCAAUUACUUCAAUUUUAGCUUUGUCUACCUCAAUUCCUCUUUCAACCACUAGGAGUCCCAGCACUAUUCCUUCCAUAAAAUGACAAUUUUCCCAAUUAAGGACUAAGUGCUUUUCUUCACAUCUUUGCAAAACCUUGUAUAAGUUUUCAAGACAACUAUCAAAAGUUUUUCCAUAAACAGAGAAAUCAUCCAUGAAAACUUCCAUAAUCUCUUCAAUCAUAUCAGAAAAUAUAGACAUCAUGCAUCUUUGAAAAGAAGCUGGUGCAUUACAUAACCCAAAAGAAAUUCUACGGUAAGCAUAAGUUCCAUAUGGGCAUGUAAAAGUGGUUUUGCUUUGAUCAUCGGGAUGGAUUGGGAUCUGGUGAUACCCUGAAUAUCCAUCUAAGAAACAGACGAACGAAUGGUUCGCUGAUCGCUCUAGCAUCUCAUCUAUGAAAGGUAAAGGAAAAUGAUCCUUUCUCGUGGCUUUGUUUAGUUUUCUAUAGUCUAUGCACAUCCGCCACCCUGUGACGGUGCGUUGCGGAAUUAGAUCAUUCUUUUCAUUCGUAACAACAGUCAUGCCUCCCUUUUUAGGCACAACUUGAACUGGGCUCACCCACUCACUGUGCGGCACAGGAUAUAUAAUCCCUGCAUGCAGCAACUUUAUAACUUCCUUUUUAACUACCUCUCUCAUUGCGUUGUUAAGUCUGCGUUGGGGCUCUCGAGAAGGUGAAACAGAAGGAUCUGUUGGAAUAUGAUGGGUACAAAUCAUAGGACUGAUUCCUAUAAGAUCUUGGAGUGAGUAGCCAAAAACUAAGUGAUAUUUCUCAAGAAUGGUCAUCAAUCGCAGAGUUUGCUCCUAAGUGAGUUUAUCACUAAUGAUCAUAGGAAACUCUGGAUUAUUGUUUAGGAAAGCAUAGAUAAGACCGGGUGGUAAAGUUUUAAGCUCUAUGGGAGGUCUAGGCGUUUCUGCAAACUCGUCUAAGGGUUCAGGUUCAGAAGGUUUGGCCUCUUCUUCUAUGAAGAAAGGAGCUUCGUAAGUCUGGUUCAUCUAAAAGCUCUAGAGAUGCAGCCUUUACCUCCUCCAUAGGAUCAAGCAAAAGAUAUGACUCGGCCUUAUUAUUUAAGGACUGUGAAAUUGUUAUUGGAAAUUUAAAAGUUUUACCAAAAGAUAUGUGUAGCUUUCCAGUAUGACCUUCAUAAAGGAGUCUUCUAAAAGGUUGUCCUAUCAACAGGUCGAAGUCCCAUGUAUCAAAGAUAUAGAAGUCCAAAUGAACCAUGGAGCCUUCUGUUGGGUAUUCUUAACAUCAUUACCAAAAGUAGACUUAGUUUUCUAAUUCUGAUAACGGUGCCAAAAAUGCCAAACCUAUCUCUCAUACCACUUAAGCCAAGUUGUCAUCCCCAGCAUGACAUGAGAGAUGCGGUAUUGAAAUAUGCAAUUGCUCUUCUAAAUAAAUAAAUAAUAAAUGAGAUCUACAAGCGCACAGAUUAAUACCGAUAUAGCAUUUUAACCGGGAAGUAUUCUAGGUAUCGUUAUUUAUAUUUUUACCACUCGGAAUGGAUUGACAAUCAUCAAUGUUGAUUAUUGAAUGGAAUAUGAGAUUGAGUAUCUAUCAUUGCAUGUACAAUUGAGAACAUUUAUCUAACACUUUCAUACAGGGGUAAGUGUCACAUAAAGGAUAUACAGUAAUGAAUAGUGACAAAGAUAAGUAAUCUGAUAAGCAUAACUUAGCCACAUAAUAAAUAUGAUAAGCACCUCAGUUAGAUAUUCUAUAAAGUCAUUAGCAUGGAAUUAGAACGAACUACAAGAAUAUUUCCUAAGUUAUUCUCAACUACAUAGUCUAGCAUAUCAUAGUUAGUGCAAGUAUACUUAGCAAUCAUUGCGAGAAAAGACUACGCCCAUGCAUAGUGAUAUUAGCAAGGAAUAUGAGAAACAUCGUAAUCACUCCCCUGUAAUAAUGUUGCUCUGCCAGCCCAAUACACGAGAGGGGGACUAUAUAAGAAUCAAUGAAGCUGUCACUAUCACGAACUACCCCGCGAUCUGGCAUAUUGGGUACAAUCGCAGAUAAAUACGGUAUAAGCACCACGCCUACACAAUAUCUAUCAUUUACCCAUGGAUCCGAUGGAUAAACGCUAUACGAUCUUAAACAUGUAUAUAGAUACAAUCUAACUAAGCCAAGUAUAUAACCAAGAUAAACUAAGAACAAUAUAAUCUUGAAUAGAAACAAGUAGAGCAAAGUCAUAAGCAAUAUAUUGAAGUAGAACAAAGUCAUAUUCAUAAUAUUGAAGAACAAAGAUGAACAAUUAGAAGAACAAUUAUAGAAUUACCAAGAAUCCUCCUGACAGAUCUGAAAACCAAUCGAAGAUUGACUCCUUCCAGUUCUAAUCCUAUGUAGCUAUGCUAAUCUAGAUAUCUAAUUGAUGUGGUGGCUCUAGGCUUGAUCAGAGACUUCUCCUCUCUUGAAGAAUAAUAAAUUAGGGUUGAGAGGCUCUCUCCUCCAGGGGCUAGGGGGUCUGGUUUUAUAGUCCCUCCAAGUGAAAAUGGGCCGUUGGAUCAAACCGACAUUGAUUGAACGGUUAUCCUUGAUCCUUUAGGUCGGUGGAGAUUGAUCUCGAAAGAGAGUCCUGUUUGGACUCCAGAAGGGGGCGGGUGCCCAGGUCAACUGGGCGGGCGCCCAGUGCCUGGCUCUGUUCGGCCUCUGCUUCCUUCCCGUGGCUUCUGGAGUCUUCUAGAUGUAAGAUAAUUGCGCGGCACGUUAAUAUCUCUAUGUAAUCCCGAUGUGUGGGCCUUUCUUCCGUAUUUCCUGAUAACCCCCUGCAAAAAUAGACAAACACCAAAACUCGUGGAAUUGUGUCAGAUAAAACCCUAAGUCUAGAUGUUGAUUUCAUGUGGAUCCUUUUCUUUGUUUAUUUGAUAAUUAAAUUUGAUACUUAAGGACCGUCAGCAAACUCCCUCAAGCUUACCUCUUACUCAUCCCUGAGCAAGGAUACUCUCAGUGAUGGAUCAGAAGUUGUUGCAAUAUCUUUAGAAAUUGACGGUACACAUGCUUUUAAAUAAGAUCUCUUCUGUGAGUUAGAGUAAACUGUCAAGACUUAAAAUUUAUUCAUUUUACCUUUUACCAUGGGACUUGUAACCUUGACUUCUGACUUGAGUAGUUAAAAGAUAGAACAGUCUAGUCAAGUGCCAUGUCUCUUAUUCUUGAUCAGCUAUAGCUCUGGAGUUUUUGCAGAUUUUCAAAUAAAACUCAAAGAUUCCUUGUAUGAUUCUCUCAAAUCUCUCUUUUGUGGUAUUUCUGGAUCCUUACCAAGGCAGUGAUGGUAUAUGCCUUCUCUCAAGAUAUGUAGUAUUUGUGGUAUAAGGCAUAGGGAUAUUGCCUUCUCUCUCACCCUACUCUAAUAAGGCUUUAAUAUCUAGAGCUCAUAGGUUGGAGAUAAAGUAUACAUACUCACAAGACAUUUAUUGUAUAGUCAAACCAUGGAUCCAAAGAAACAAAUCAAUAAGUCAAAUCAAGAUGUGCAUGUGUGGCGAAUGAAUGGUGUAUGGUGAUGAUGGUGAUAACAAUGGUGAAAGUCUAAUUCUACUUUUGCUCUUUGAGAAGAUACAUACCUUCCUUGCUUUUUGAAACUUAGUGAGGAGAAUGAGAUGCUCUAUCUUUUUUUUUUCUCUCAGGUGGGUAUUUUGUACUCCUAAUUCUACUGUCGGACACUUGUCCAUUUUUACCUCUCGUCUCACUUUUUCUUUUCUUUCGAGGUUCCGGGCACUUGCCCCUUUUUAUUUCCUCGUAUCUUCUUUUUUUAGAGCACUCAUCUCUUGAGAUAAUAUAGCAAGUAUUAGUAACAAGAUAACUUGAGCAUUUAUUUCAUAGGGGAAAAUAGAAAUGUUUUUGGCUAUUCUCUCCCAGAUUAGGAGUAGAAUAUUUUUGGGUGGUUCUGGAGAUGGAAAUGGGUGGAUAUAUGUGGAUGGUACUUCCAGAGUAGAAGCAGCAUAUGUGAGUGAACGUGCAAGUGAAUCUUGAUUUUAACCACAUGACAAGCUCCUAAGGGUCUACACAGCUUGACCACACUCAAUGCUCAUAAGCAAUAAACAGUAAAUGUGUGGCUCAAAGUCUAGCAAGCAUGUAUAUAUGGCUGUGGUAGGAAUUUAAACUCUCAUCAUACAGGAACUCAUCAUGCAAUAUUUUAAAGAUUUUCAAAGAUAAAAUUCUCCACAAUUCUAGCAUCCCUAGAAACAGCAGCUCAACCUUCCCAUAUCAUAUCCGUUAACAACUUAGACUUCAGAUCAAGUUUGCUUCCCACAAGUUUAGUGUUUAGGUCAAACUUUAAAUUAUAACAGUUAUGUCUAAACUAGAGAGAAAACUCAAAUUUGAAAAAUUAGGCAGAGCAACUAUUCAUCAUGUCCAUGCUAGAGUUUUAUUAUUAAGAUUCAGAUUAGCUUAGCCACUUUAUUUAUUUAUUAAACACACUAAGCAAAAGAGAU
rnacentral:lncRNA from 1 species